CACCGCGAUGUUUUGGAUAGGGAUAACUAUCCACCACCACCUCAUGCUGUUGGUGUAUGGCCACAUUCAAGAAGAAGAAGUUAUGAAGAAGAAAUUCCCGUUGAUAGGGAUAGGAGACAUGAGAAACAAUACAUUGAUUCAUAUCAUGAGAUGGAUAACUUUCGUGAUCAUGAGAUGGAUAACUUUCGUGAUCAUGAGAUUGAUACAUUUCAGGAAUUUGAUAAAUUUCGAGAUAGCUAUCGCAGUGUUGAUAGCUAUCGUGAUCCUGGAUUUGACAGGAUUGCAAGGCUUGGUGGACGUGAUCGUGAUGAUUAUGCAUAUGAUGAUUUUGACUAUAGGUCCCGUGCUACCCAUCAAAACAGAGAGGAGAGUCGUGAAAGGGAUUAUGACUAUGGCCGACACAGUUAUGAUUCUGAUUAUGACAGAGGUAGUAGGAGAGAUAGCAAUUGGAGGCGUCGUGGAUCUCGUGAAUCUCGUGAAUCUCGUGACCGAGAGCGUGAGAAGAAAUGUUUGAGUAGGGAAAGAGAACAGAGUCCACAUAGAAGGCAUGAGCGUUCUCGCUCCCGGUCCAUUUCUCGCGGGCAUGAGGAUCGUCCUAGAUCAAGGUCCCCUAGAGGUCGAAGCCAUGGACGAAGUCAUCGAGAGGACAGCUAUGAUGAUGGACGGCAUGAGAGAACUGAUAGGCGAAGGGACCGUGAUGAGAAACGCCAGAGAGAGCAUUAUUCUGUGGUAUGUUUUGCAUCUUUCUGUUCAACCUAAUUGCCUAUGUGUUUACUGUAUGCAGGAUGACUUACUGAGUAUGAUGUUCUUUUGUAGGCCCCAUCUGCAACUAUUGUUGUGAAGGGUCUUUCACAGAAGACGACUGAGGAAGAUCUAUACCAGAUCCUUGUAAUAUGUCAUCUGAUGUUUUGUUAUGAAUACCACAUUUCUACUUCUCUCUACUUUUUGAUAACCUUGCAAUUUGUAUAUCUUUCAGACUGAAUGGGGACCCCUUAGACAUGUCCGUGUGAUCAAAGAACGUAAUUCUGGCAUCUCUCGUGGAUUUGCUUUUAUUGAUUUUCCUUCUGUGGUAUGUAUUAUUCUUUUCGUAUAAAUGUUUUGCAUUUGAUUUGAAUAAAAAUAAUUCACAAUGGAGUUUCUGUUUGUUUAAUAGGGAGCAGCAUGCGCUAUGAUGGACAAGAUUGGGGAUGAUGGACUUGUGGUGGAUGGCCGAAAGCUUUUUUUUGAGUACAGGUGUUUUUUUUGUUGGUCCUACUUUACUGGAUGAAGUCUUAAUAUAACCAUCACCGAAGUGUGGUAGCAUUAUUUUGUCAUUGUGAAAUACAUAUAUAUAUCUAUGUACAUAGAGAGCUUCCAUUCUUAUUUGAGGGACACCCUUGUAGGGCUCACUCCACAUUGUAUUUCGCUAAUCCUAAUCGUGUAUUUUAUAUAUCCUGUCUUUCUUAACUGAUGACAAAAUAGAUACAAGAAGUGAGUAGAUAUAAAACUUUUGGGUUGGAGAGGGAUGAUCAUGUUCUUAGUUAUUUGAACCCCACUGGGAAAUGCCAGUUUGUUUUGUCGACUUUCUUCCUCCCCCUCUAUCAACAAAAAAAGGAAGGCCAGCUUGCGUCUUAUUCCCAUGAAUCGACAUGAACUUUGAUCAAAGCGAGGAAGAAAGUGAUGAAGUGUCUUUUUUUAAUUUUGAACUUUUAAUUUUUUAAUUUUUAUUUUUUCUCGGGUGGUGGUAAGGGUAAAAUUUAGUAAAGGUGACUGCAUAGUUAACGUAAACAAUAAAGGACAUCUUGCAUGAUGUGCGGAUACUUAAUGCCUCAAUAAAUGAAGGAUUUUCUUUCUGUGUCAGAUGUAUUCUCAGCUGUCAGAUGAUGCAAAUGCUGAAAGUGUGGUUUUGUUUUUGUCCCUGGAAUGGGACCCAUAUUAUUUUUCCAUGAGUGUACUUAUUUCCAUUUUGAACUGUGUUUUGUUGCAGUAGUAAGCCGACUGGGGGUGCAGGUGGAUCUUUUGGUCAGGAGAAUGCUGUGAAAUCAGGCCAUAAUAACCGUAAAAGCAUCACAGUGCCCUCUGAUUGGAUGUGCAUUAGUUGUGAAUAUGUUAAUUUUGCACGGCGGACAUCCUGCUUUCAGGUGUGUAUUUUUUUUUCCAUUACAAGGUAUUAAUUUCUUUUUGUCUUGAUAUAUUUUGACGAAUUAACCCUCCAUCAUGUAAUAGUAAAGUGCUAAAUUCAUACCAACAAUGUUGCCUUUUCUGGGAAGAACAGCUGCACUUAUGUGCUUGGAAAUAUUCCAUUAUAUGACUUUAGGUGGUUUUGUUAAAGACCUUCUGUGCUUUUGUGGUAGAAUUUCAACUCUGCUAUGUUUAGAUACAGUGCUUUGGGAACAAAAUCUUUUGUGUCCAAGUAAAUAUGUAACUAUGGUACAAUAGAAAAGAAAUUUUUAUUGUUUUAUUAUUUUAGAAAACAAAAUUUUCAACAUGCAUAACUGUGUAAUGUAUGUGGAUUAGUUUAUUUUUUCUUAAGAAUAAUUAAUGUAAGUUGAUUAUCAAAAAAGGAAAAAAAAAAAUUCAUGUAGGUUAGUGAGUCUCUGUUUUCCUCCUUUGUUGCAGUGCAAUAAGGCACGAACUGAGGAUGCUCCGGCAGCAGAUAUUUCUUUAUCCAAUCAAAUGACUUCAGCAAAGAAAGGAUCUGAAGCUGGUUAGUCUACCUUGUUUCUUUUAGCUGGCGUAAUUAACUAUUAAUUUUUAUGAACUUAACUGAGUAUAUAUGUCAUUAGGUCCUACUCAUGUUUUGGUUGUUCGCGGACUGGAUGAAAAUGCUGAUGAGGAAAUGCUGCGCUAUGAAUUUUCCAAACAUGCCGCAAUUAAGGUGCAAAUGCUGAACAAAUUGAAUUCUUUUUAUUUAUUCAUUUAGUGUCAUCUUAAAGUUAAACAAGACAGAUUUUUUUUUCUAUCUAGCAUGUGCAUCAGAGAUUUAUUGAUAUUAUUUUGCAGGAUCUUCGUCUUGUUAGAGACAAAUUUACUCAUGUUUCAAGGGGAUUUGCAUUUGUACAUUUCCAUUCGGUAUGCCAGCUUUUUUCCCCUCCCUUUUCAGUUAUUCAGUUGGUUAAAUGUUGUAAUUUUAUUGUCUUCCAUUUUUUCUGGUAUUCAUUUGCGUGGCCUUAAUGUUCUGAUUCAAGAAUUGAAGGACACUGAAGUUAACUGAUGUUGGGGACGAGGAAACAAUGUGAGCUGUUAAAAUCACGGAACUUAAAUAUAAAAGAAAAAUGUUACUUGUCUCCCAACUUAUAUUUACAGAACUUAAUGUAAAAAAUUUAUCUUUAAAAUGUACAUGUUCAGAACUUAUGAGUAUAAUUGUACAGAUCUUAUAUGUGGUCAUCAUAUGCUGAGUUUUUAUUUGUAGGGUAAUUGUAUCACCUCUACUUUAUAAGCUCCUUUCCAAUAGGGAAAUGAUGUUUUGAACAUUUUUAUUUGCUGGUUGUAUGAGGAAAUGUGGUGUGACUAGAUUUAAAUUUGUAUAUUCCUGACCAAAAGAUUGGGCAAAAUGUUUCUGUGGGAUGUAUUAGGUAGUUGGCAGCUCACUUUGAUGGGGUCUCCCAAUGCUGAACUAUAUUUUAAUAGAGCUCCUUUAACUAACCACAUAAGUUUAAAUGAAGGUGCUAUAAAUGUUAUGCCAUAUGAACUUCUAUAACCUGAUCAAUGAAAAUGAUUUUCUAGAUGUGUGAUAUGAUCAUGGCUUGCAUCCAGAUGUCUGAUAUGGUUUUCUAUACUUACGAUUACACACAAUCAAGGGCAUAAACAAAACCCAUCUAAUUCAAACUGUUAUUGUACAUAUUCAGAAGUGUGAUAUGUUGAUGUCUUUCGUCUAAAAAACUGCAUCCCUCUCUACCCAAUUCUUUUGAUCUGAGAUUUAACAUGUUUGCAUGUGGUUGUCCGAAAAAGAAACCUGUCUGCAUGUGCACCUCUUGUUUUGAGUCUUAAAAGUUUUUUGCAUUUGUAGUGGGGUAAGUUGGAGUUGUAAUACACCUUUUGUUUAAAUCAUGUAAAGAAUGAGGAAAAAAAAGAAGAAUUUUUAUGUCCUCAAAAUUUCCCUGGCAGGUUAUUUCUCCUCUUCAUUAUUCUAUUUUUUUUUUUUUAAUCAAUUGGCUUUUAGUCUCAAAGGCUGUGUGGGUGCAUGUAUUGUGUGGUCUUUCUGCUAAUGUUGAUUAACUUUAUCGUGCUUGGUUAAAAUUGUGUAAAUGGUACACCUUAUUACAAUUUUUUGCUCUCUAGUAUCCCAGAAGUAGAAGUAUAAUAACUUCCUUAAAGAUGCCUUAGUCGUAAAAGCUUGAUUUAUUUAUUAUUAUAUUUUAAUUACGCUUUGGUUGCAAGUCUUUUGUGUUUCAGGGCGACAGAGUUACAAGACUGUACUUAUUAUUAUUAUUUUUUUGAAUAGAAACAUUUUUAUUCAAAUUUGUAAGGAUCAAAACAAGGGCAUUUAGAACGCAGAUAAAAAGAAAAAACACUAGCCGGUGAAACAGACACAAGGCCACUCAACACAUAACUAAACAACCAAACAUAAAACAACCCCUUAAGAUACUACGGCCAGCAGAUUGCGCAUAAUUGUAGGAUAGGGUACAUCCUUAAAAGCAAGGGAAGUUGAUGCCCAAAGGGCAGCCCAAAACUUCACUCUAUCCCAUUACUCUGCCACUCCCACUCCCUUAUAAUCCUCAAAGAUUCUCCUGUUACGUUCCAGCCAUAGGUUCCAAACCACUGCCUGCAUCAGACUACCCCAGAGAAUUUUGGCUUUCUUUCUACAAGACUGUACUUAUGAGUUAUUAAGUACAGUCUAGGAACUUGGUCACCCCCCUGAUGGACGUGUUCUUCGUUUCUGUCUGUCUUCCAAUGUGAGAUGUGAAGAAACAAAGAAAUCAGCGCAGUUUUUUGUUUUAAGCUGCAACCCUAUGAUUUUCAGGUGGGAGAUGCUACAAAAGCUCUUGAAGCAACAAAUGGAACAACACUUGAGAGGAAUGGGCAAAUUUUGAGAGUAGCAUAUGCAAAGAGCAUUCUUGGUCCAGGAUCUUCACAGUCAAGCAGCUUGGCAGCUGCGGCAAUUGAGGCAGCCACCUUUGCGCAACAGGUUUCUCUUAAAAUAAUUUUAUACGUUUUUUACAUCUGUUUUGUUGACUUAUAUGAUACUUCUUAUAUAUAUAAACUUUAUAUUAAUUGUAAGCACUUGAACAACAAAUAUAAUAUUUUUAGAUCACAUGAUUAUUAGAAUAAUUUUUGAAGAAUAAUGGAAAGCAGACGUUCAUGAGAGUGAAAAAUGUUUUGGUUCACCACAUAGAUGGAAGACAUUACAUGUCUAGAAAGAUUUCCAUAACUUUAAGAUGAGUAAUUAAAUACUCAAAUACUCAAAUAUUUAGAUAUAUCUGCUGUACAUGGCUGCCAUUUAAUUAGUUGUUGUGUGGUCAGAAUUUGUGUUAAAAUAUUAUCUCAUGAUUAAUGGAGAUUCCCAGGGCCAGAGUAUACUUAUUUGACAAUGUGGAAAAGUUGAUUCUUGAUUUUUUUAUUACUACUUAUAAAAAAGCUGAUGAAUAAUUUAUCAACAAUAAUAAUACCACCCAUACAAGGAAUAUAUUCUAAGAGGGCUAAAUUAUUAGGAAGCAUUAAAUUCUGAGGAACUUUGUAAUUUUAAUUGUAAUAAAAGGUAGCUGAUUAAGUUUUUGUUAUACAUUCAAAUUACUAGUUUGAGUCUUCGUAGAUGAAAAAUCAUAAAUUUUGUUAAUUAUACACAAUCAGUUCACAUCAAUCUUUUCAGGCUAAAAGAAUACUCAGUCCGACAAUGAACUGGUUUUAUGGGGUUGAAUGGGUACUAAACCAACUCAGUUAAAAUUAAAAUAGAAAGCGAAGCUGCCUUGGUCAGUUGACCACCCUCUGCGGAAAAUGCCCACCACAAUAGAGGACUAUGUAUGAAAAAGACCUACUAGGGUGAGUAGCAGAUAUUUAAGCUUUUGGAUUGACUAGUUUCCAAGAAAACAGAAGAUAGACCAUAAUGAUUCUUUAAAAAUUUCAUAUUAAGUCACGACCUUGUAACCCGAGAAAAGAGAAGAGAACCAUUAUGCUCAAUUCUUUCCGUUAGUUUGAGUUAGAGGAAUUGGAAGAGGAGAAAUUUAUGAUGUUUGGAACUGUUUUGCUGGUAUUUUGUUAUGUUACAUUAUGAUAUAAUGGAUAUGCAGGGGCAAUGAACAGCUUAUGUGAACUAGGACAGGUUAGGUUAACUUGCCUGUGUGAGUUAGACAGGUUUGAUAAACUUGUUUAGUAUAAUUGUAUAGUGGGCUUAGGGCUGCACACAAGUACUCUCAGACAUUCCGCAGAUCAGAUUUGGUCUCAUUUUUUACUCAAUAACGCAAUCCCUUAUUGCAUCCCUUCUUGGGAAAAGAUUAGUCUGUUGAAAUUCAAGGUAUGAUGGUUGUUACUGUAGCAGGGUAACCACCCCAACUGUGUGUUGCUUUGAUUAUAGCUACUUUCUUUUUCUUGUUGGAGAAAAAAAAAAAUCUAAAAAGAGGAGACCAGUCGCCUCUGUUUGUCUAUACAACCCGUUUAUUCAACAGUCUGUUGUUUUUGCUUUCUUGCAUAUGUCACUGUGUAUUUUACUGAAUCUUAGGCUCUCUUUUUUCGUAUUGGUUUAUUUUUUUAAUUUUUUUUGUAUAGUAUGAUUCUGUUGGUUGGGCACCAAAGGAAUAUAAUCCAGAUGACAAUCAAUCCACUGGGGGGGAGCAAAAUGGCGGGGAGAUGGCAGUACAACAAGAUGGUUUGGCUCCACAAUCUGGUUUUGUGUGGGAUGAGGCAUCUGGUUAUUACUAUGAUGCUGCUUCUGGGUUCUACUAUGAUCCAAAUACAGGUUCUUUUUUUAAUCAAUAAAUACAGGUUCUUCUAUUUGUAUUUCAUUUUCCCCCUUGUUCCAUUGCAUCGUACAAAGAUGGUUAUGAACCAACCCUUUAUGAUUUUUUUAUUUUCUUACUUUUAAAUCUUUUUGGUGGAUUCACGGGACGAAAAGGUUCCGACCAAAUUACAUAUAACAUAUCAAAUUACUGAAUUUUGAUAUCAUUUCUGAAUGCUGCAAGUUGUAGAUUCUAAUUUCAAACUAUUUCUUGGCUGUCAUAUUGGAUGAAGUACAAAGUUCUUUCUCCAGUAUUUUGGGUUGGAGGUGAUGAGGGUGGGAGAGGUAUUCAUGUUCUGGAAGUUGAAUAGAAGGCAGGGGAUGGGCACAGGUUUGGUUUGCUUGGGUUAAAGCCCAACACCAAUCCAACCCUAGAUGCUGGUGUAGACAUAAAUAACAAUUUGAUAUUGACCAAUGGACUAUUGAAACCAAGGAAACCCAGCCCAAAAAAAAUAGGUUAAGUAGGCUUGUGUUUGUGGUAUGUGUUUGUUGACAAAUGCUAUAAGAAGAUACCAAGGCUCAAAUGUUAAACAAGACUCCAUUGAGAGCCCAUGUUGACGGAUAUAGUCUGAAGGGAAUCCUAUAACCAGUAGUAGACAAGAAACUCUCCUAUAUGAAUAAAAAGAUGCAAAUUGUUUGAAUUCAGACAGGUUAGUCGGGUUGGGGGUGAUUCUGUCAGACUCCUGAUCUGUUUGCCUGAAUAUGUUUGGUGUAUUUCCCUGUUAUGUUCAAACUGGAGUAUCUGUUGGUCCUUCAAGGCAGUGGGUCAGUCACUUUAAAGGCAGUGGGCCAGUCAAUUUCAAACUGGACUAAUUUUCUGCUGUAUCACAUAGAGCCUUUUCCUUUUCUCCCAAUAAUGCUAUUGCUUAUAAAACUAAAUUCAGGGACCAGGGAGCUCUAAUAGUCAUCUAAUGUUUAAGUAGCUUAAUAUUGUGUGCUGUCAUAGAUGUUGUAAUUGGAUGAACUUAUUCAAUGAGUAGGUUUUAAUUUGCCACUCUGUUCCUUGCCUUCACACACACACAUACACUCUCUCUCUCUCUCUCUCUCUCUCUCUCUCUCUCUCUCACGCACACUCAUGCGAGCACAAUUUUCUAAUCCAUGGUUUAUACUUAUGUACAUUUUUCAAUGUAGGUCUUUACUAUGAUGGGAACAACGGGAUUUGGUAUUCAUAUGACCAGCAAACUCUGCAAUACAUUCCUUGCACUGAUCAGAAUGAUAACAAAACUUCUGUUAAUCAAUCUGAGCUUUCCAAGGCAUCAGAUGCUUCAAGUAAUAAAAAGGUAGUAAUCUCUGCACCAGCUACAACCUCAACACCAUUUGAGAAAGCUGCAUCAUUACCAGAUGCCGUCCAGGCAGCUGCAGAGAAAAAAGAGAAGGAAAAGGCAAAAGAGAUCAAAUUGGCUUCAAAGAGCAGUAUUUUGGCUAACAAGAAGAAAAUGAGUAAUGUGUUGACGAUGUGGAAGCAGAGGAGUCACGAAGGCCAAGCAACCCGUGUAGCUCUGGAUGAGAAUCAGCCAAGCAUAUCAGCUGAUGAUAGACCAGUUUCUUCUGUGCAGUCUACAAAGAGUAAGUUUAAAAUUGACGUGACAACCACAAAGGAGAAUACUACACCCAGUUCGAGGGUUAGUACAACUGUUUCUGCUGCAGAGACUGCUGGUUUGGAGUCUCCAGUCAUGCCAAGGCCUGUGAGCAACAGCAUAGGGGGCACACUGAUGGGAGUCAUAAGGGGCUCUGGAAGAGGUGUGGUGAAAUCAGAUACCUCGUUUUCAGGAUCAUCUGGCGGAGUUUCCAUUCCUUCAACUUCUGCUGCAUGCAUGGUAUCUGCAUCAACAAUGGCAGAUAUCCCCACGGUUUUGACUCCCUUCAGAACAGAUGCAUCUGCAUUGGGUUCUUAUACACCACCUGUGGCUGCUGGGAGUGGAAAGAGAAGAUUUUCUGAACUGCCAGUAGCACCUGCUUCUGCUCCUAAAGAGCCUCAUACUGCAUAUAGGGAUCGUGCAGCCGAGAGAAGGAGCUUGUAUGGUUCUUCAUUGUCGUUUGGAGAUGAUUCGUCAGAUCUUGGUUUUGGGGAGUCAAGUAAGCUUUCUUAAGAAUAUGUUUCCGAUCGGCUUGCCCCUUUUUUCUUUCUUACAAGCUCAAUCUAUAAAUGUGCCUCAACCUAGUUCCAGUUAUUAAAACCAUCUAUCAUGCUACCUAUCAUACUGGUCUGCAUAAUUGAUUGGAACAUGUCAGCUAAAUUUAGUUCUUCAGUACCCAAACAGGUUGUCCAAGUUGGAUGAGUCAUUUUUCUAUUUCACAAUAUUUGAAUUGAUUUGUAAAAUAUCCUGUGGUUACUAUUUUCUACUGUCAAGAUCGAGAUUCUGCAUCAAGGAAGGGUUCUUUUGAUUCAAUGCCCUUUCCCCCUGGUGUCGGUGGAGGACGUGCGGUUGGAGAUGCGAACAUUGACAGUUACGAGGUGAUUACAGCUGAAAAAGCAAUUGAUGAGAGCAAUGUGGGCAACAAGAUGCUUCGCAACAUGGGCUGGCACGAAGGCUUGGUAUCAUAUCCUUCUUUUGCACUUGAAGAUUAUUCUAAAUUUUUAGCUUACCUCACUAACUUUACCUCACGAAAUAAAUCCCAAAUCUCCCAAUUGCUGAAGGUGGAGUUUAAUUCUUGUACGAUAAUAAGAAAUCUUACCAGUUGAACAAGCCAGCACCUCAAAUUAUAUUAACUAUGCAUUUGCUUGAAUGUUUUAAGAAAUCCCCCUUGUUUCUCUGAUGAAAUGAUUCCGCAGUUCCCUAUUUUUUUUUCUAUAGAUCAAAAAGUGGACUUGGUAGAUGUUAUUUUCUUAUUUUCUAACCAUAUAUAUUUUGUGGAAUGUGUCUUUUUCUCCUUUUGCUAUUCAUCUGAUCACAGGGUUUGGGAAGAGAUGGAAGUGGAAUGGUAGAACCAGUGCAGGCUCAGUCGGUGGAAAGGAGAGCAGGACUUGGGAGUCAACAGAAGAAGCUAGAUCCUACUCUGGAGGUGCAGGCUGGAGAUAGUUACAAAACACUCAUUCACAAGAAGGCACUGGCCAGGUUCCGGGAGAUGUCGUAAGACAAUAUAAGGGAACCGUUAUUUUGAUUUAUAUUUUCCUUGGAAGUAGAUAUAGAUCAGAUAUCAAGCAAUGGAAGCAGAUGUGGAGCAAGUGGCCAAUGUCGUCUAUUAUUGUUUAUGCUUCCCUUUUUCAAAGGUCUCUUGGGGACCUUGUAAAAAAUUGCGCUCUAGCACUUCAUAGUGUUACAUUUUUUUGUGUGAAGGAUAAAACUGUACCUUUCGUCUUUCAAGUGUACAUCAGUUUAGCGAAUGAAAAAGAAUUACUUUUAAAGAAAAACAAAUACUUCGAUUUACAUUUUUACAUAAUUACUUACCAGGAUACUUGCGAUAAAAGAAACCAAAUCCAAAUCUAAACAUAGAAUGUGUCAAAACAUCUUAUCAUCUCAAGUUUGUUUUAAUCGUAAUGGCAGGUGAACUACAAGUUCAUUUGUUGAAUUGGGAUUCCAGUUCAGAAUCCUUUUGCCUCAAGGACUCCCCAAAAGGGACUUUUACACAAGUUCAUUUGUUGAAUUGGGAUUCUAGUUCAGAAUCCUUUUGCCUCAAGGACUCCCAAAAAGGAAAGAUUUUGUUCUUUCAAAAAGUUCCUCUUGUUUGUACUAAAAUUUGCUUUUUUACUCAUGUUUUGCCAGAAAAAGAUUUUAAGGAAAGCGUUUUUGACCAGAUAAAAAAAAAAGAUUUUAAGGAAGCACAUUGUUAAACGCCAAUUCUUGUACAACUUGUGGCCAGUAUUUGGCAAAUACCCAUUCUCUAUAGAGCAUGGAACCCAGGUGCUUAUGGACGGCGUUUUCAUCAAAUCAGCUCAUGAAUGUCAAUCAGAUUCUAUGGGUUCGAACAACAAAUUUCGUUGCUGAGAUAAAGUUGGCUCCUUUAUGAAAGUUGUUCCAAUGGAAGUCUAGUAUAACAUAUGCAACUUUGGGAUCACUGUGACCGUUGUAGCCCUUUCGGACUGUCACGCACUAUAACAUGUUUAGAGAAGGAGUUAGUUGGCUGCGAACCAACCAUAGUUAAUGAAGAAAUAUGGGUGAUAAAGAAAAUAUUAAAAUAAGGAAAGAUUCUUUGACAAACUAUGUUGAUGUUCACAUGUAAAGGAAGAAAACAAUUAAAUAUUGUUUGUGAGAGCAAACAGAGAAAGAAUAAGGAAAGAAAGAAGGAAGGAGAGCGGCAAUAGGAACCAAGUCUUAGGCAUCUCUGCCAUGGCCAAAUGUUGCCCUCAAAACAUGCAAAACCUACCUUCGGCCAUGAAUUAAAAAAAAAAUUUGCCAAAUUUUGAGGGCCACAUUCAGUUAUUUAAUUCCACUCCUGGGCCAUUUGUAGUCCAGUUAGACCAUUUUCAGCAGCUAAGGCUGGACUCGGGCUGGGGUUGGUUUGGGCAAAAAAGUGGUUUCCAGCAACAAAAUCCAGUCUGGGCAAAUGGUGGGACCUAGCAGACUGGGCUGGCCCAAGGGCAAGGCUGGCUCGAGUGCUGGCCCGAGGGCAAGGCUGAUGUCAGCGUGCUGAUGUCACGUCGACGUCAGCCCUACGUCCAAAUUUUUUUAAAUCGUCCACGUGGCAAGCUAGGCUCUCCGAUCAUAUUUUUUCCAGCAAUCCAACGGUAGCCAAUGUUUGUGCAAUAAAAAAAUGAAAAAAAAUGGAUAAAAAUUUAAAAAAAUACCAAAAAAAUUACUGAUUUUUUUUUCUCUAUACCUUAUUUCCAUUUUCAACAUUUAAGUAAAUGAUAAAUGUAAAUAAGGAAGUACCCCCUAUUUGGAUUCAAAUAAAAAUACUAGAAAAUCAAAUUCCCAUCAAAUCAAAAUAUGAAAAAUCGAUUUUAGUGCAAAAUACGAUUUAGGCUAAAAAUGAUGGCUCAUUAAGUCAAUAUAUACUUCAUAUUAAAAUUUCAUAAAAUCAAGUUUUCUUAUUUGAUGUGUAAGGAAUAAAAGCCGCCAAAAAUUAUCUUGAGAAAAUGAUUAUUCCGAAAAAUCAUUUUUCAUACUUAGUCAAUAUUGCACCUCUGCUACAAAAAUUCUGGGUUCGCCAAUGUCUAUAAAUACCAACCAAUACUCUUCACUUUUAACACCAAAUCCUCAUACUUUUUUUUUUUCCUAUAAAUACCAACCAAUACAACUAAUAAAAUAAAAUCUUAUUCGAAAAUAUUAUCCAAUAUGAAUAGUAUUGACACGUAGAAACCAAAAAAUCUUAUCCGAAAAUAUUAUCCAAAUUAAUUGUUGAAGUAAAAAAAGUUGUGAAAAAAACAAAAAAAUGAAUAGUAUUUGCAUGGCAAGCCUAAACUGCUGGAAACACACUUUGCUGAGGGGGGCUAGGGUAGCCACUAUUCACGUGAAUAGUAGCUGCCCUAGGGCUCCCCCUGCCAUGGCAAGGGGCUAAUUGGUGGAAAUGCUCUUAUAGCUCAGGUUAAAUUUUUUUGUGGGCCCAUCGCAUGUGAUGUCCAAAGAAGGGAAAGUAUCAUGUGUGGGUGUGAGCACAGAACCUCUCGUGCAACUGUAAAUUCAAAGGCUGAUAUUAAAAACCCGCUAACAUCAGCUAGCCCUUACCUCUUUUUUUAACCUUCCAAAUAUUUUUAAAUUUGUAUUUUUUUAAUAUAUAAAAAAAAUACUUUUUAUCACAAAUGGUCUCUGAGGUUUGCGAAAUUAUCACCUUUGGUCCUUUAUGUUUUUUUCUGACAUUAUUGGUCCCUUAUGUUACACCUCACACAUCAAUUUAGUCCCGCCGUCACGUUCAGUCAAAAUUUUCUGUUAGAUUGCUGACGUGGAUUAAACAAUGUUUUAAAUAUUUUGAGUUUUAUCAUAAAUGGUCCUUGAGGUUUAUAAAAUUAUCAGCUUUGGUACUUUAUUUAUUUUUUUGUUGUUGACAUUAUUGGUCCUUAUGUUACACCUCACACAUCAAUUUAAUCCCAUCAUGAGAUUUCGUUAAAUAUUUUUGUUAAAUUGCUAACAUGACACAAAUGUAUUGAAUUACUAAACCCUAAAAUUAACUGAGUAAAUUCUAUUACCUAACUAUUUACUGAAUUACUAAUUUACCCUAAAAUAAAAUGACAAAAAAUAUAUAUUAAAUUUUAAAACAAAUAUAAUUUUAAUAAGUACACUUUACUCACAUAUUCAACCCUAAUCAAAUCAAUCCCUCGGAUCAAUUAGUAAUUCAUUGGGCAAGAACAUAAUAAAGUUAAAUCUAUCUCAAGGACAACAAAAUAACGGCCUACAGAAUUGACAACUUUUAGAACCAUGUUCUCCAGACCACAUUAAUGUCGGCAAGUUUGCAAUAUCUAUCUAUGUAUGAUAUCUAGCACAACACAUCAUGCCCAGUACCAGGAAUUACACAUCUAAAUUUAUUUCUCUUCUGUUUCAUGCAUGAUCAUGAACUUGAAGCCCUUUUGAGUACUACAACCUCUAUACUCCUUAUCUAUCAAACUUGUUAUAAACUCAAUUCUCAAAUGGGUUUGGUGUUGUGUGAUAUAGUGUAUCAUGGAUAUUUUUGAUAGUUAAAUAGGGUGUACUUAGUUAAUUUUACUUUUUGAUUUAAAUAUUAUGAUGCACUUAGAUAAUAGGAUGUACUCAAUUAAUUUUGGGGUUCGUUUAGCAUCACUAUAAAAAAAAUAGUUUUUGAAAUGUUAACUUUUUUUUUUCCUUCUCUUUUUACGUUUUAAAUGUAUAUAAAAUUCUUUUUUCUUUAAAAAAAAUUAUAAACAUAUUCGAAAAUUUAUUAAGAUUCCUUCAAAAUAAGACGUGCUACAUGGACAUGAAAGUUUGUCAACGUACAUGUGUCAUAUCUGGAAUAUUAUCUCUAAAUAGUAGUUUAAUUAAAUUAAACAAUAUAUAGUAUUGGAAUGUAUGUGUGUUGUACCAUAGUUUUCCUCAAAAUAAUAAAGUAUGGAGGGUCCUAAAAUAUAGCUUGCAUGGCUGAAGAUGGAAAAAAAAUUUAGUCCUACGCUAUUCUUUAAAAAAUUAAUAUUUUGAAAGGCUAAAAUUAUAGCCAUAAACUACAUUUAGCCCUAUAACUAGAGAUGACCUUGCAAACUUCAAAUGCACCACUUUACUCCUCACCCUAAUACCCACAUUUUAAAAAGUCUAUGUGAAAUCAAAUUCUCCCACCUAAAGUUCAAACUCGUUGGUUGGCUUUCCUUUCGAAACAGACUCCCAGUUCAACAAAGAAUCCAUAGGUUCAUUUCCUCUGUCAAUUGGCUUGGAAACAGUAAGUGCUAAAAUCUACAAUAACACUUUCCGAAUAAUAUAAUCUUGUUUUCAAUAGUUAUCCGAUGUAAACCUAACCUCUGCAUUCUUGCAUUCAAAGUUUUUGAGAGCUCAUAAUCUAGCUUGAGAGUUAAAAGUCCUUUGUUGACUGGUAUUUCCUUGACUUUUGACAAUCUUUUUCUGAAAAUUUGUGCGAGGUUAGAUUGUUGUUUUGCAAUGUAGGAAUUUUCCUCUCCCGAAAUUGUCUUAUCAUGAGAAACUAUACUGUUAUGAAGGUCUUUGUCUAUUUAUACUGUUUCUCUAGCUGUUACUAAGCAUGCUUCUUCCCAUUUCUUGGUCGAAGGUAUUUCUGUCUUUUGGUACCACUAAAGUCCACUUGUAGUUAUCUCAUUGGAUAAAAAGUUUAUAUUCUCACAAAUGCCCCUCAUCUCUUCCAAUUUCCAAAGUAGAUGUUCAACAGACUCAGAAGAGACCCAUUCCAUCGAUUCACUGGGUGAGAUCUUCCACAUGUAUGAGGUCUCAGGUCCAGCUCCAAGCUAGGAUUGUAAUUAAUUUGAUCAAAUAACUAGAACGGAGCAUUUAUCUGGAAAAAAUAACAACAGAAUCAUUUCUCUGGGAAGAACUAGUCAAAAAAUUUCAUCAUAUCCCUUCUAAGAUCGUUCUAUUUCGUCUGGUAUUUCGUAGGCAGAAACGAUAUAUAACGUAGAGAAUACAUAAAAGAGACCUUCAAAGGACCAGGGUCCAGCUCCAAGCUUGCUAGGAGUGGGUAUAAGCAGAUCCACGAUCUCGUUUCUAGAGACUGGAAAGAUAAAAAUGACAUAAUUUGCAAAUAUUAUGUCAGGUGAUAGUGUUUCUCCAAAAGAGAAGGCAUGCAUCUCAACAUUACUAAAAAUGAAAAAACAACAGCCAGAAACAAACAUUCCAGGAAGCUCAUGCUUUAUCAAAAAUAUUGGAUCACUCUAGUGCGCCAUGCAUUCUCCAAAGACUUGGUUGGCUACCAACUAUGAGUCACAGUAAAACAUUUAAAAAUGACAAAAUAUGAAAAUUUAAUCUUAUCAAGAGAUUUCAAAAUCGACUAACGAAAUAAAAUGAAAAUGUCAUUGACAUCGAAAUUUAUAAAACCGUUCACCACAUUAACCCAAGGUGACUUCUUUAUACACAUACAAUUAUACUAUUUUAACACAUACAAUUAUACUAAUUAAGGGUAAGAAGGGAACACAAAGCCCAAACAAUAUUUGUACGCUUAUGUUACAUUGUAGUUGUUGAAUCUUUAGCUUUAUUAUUUAAACUUAAUUUAAUCAUCAUAAUGGCUUGAAGAAAUUUUCAUAUCACCUUGCACUAAAAUGGGGAAAUUUGAAAAACCCAGAGGCUGCCUUGACCAAAGACCAGAAUUGCUAGCGCGACCAGAGAGCAGCUACGGCGAGGCGGCUUGUCACCAGUCUUGUCCUCCAUGUGGGUGGCCAACAAACGUUGGCUUUAAGCAAUUGACCGACCACUAGUAUCCAUGAAUAAUAACUCAAGGUUGAUGUUUACUUAUAUCAUUGUAUAGCAUCUAUAUAUACUUAAAUGUUAAAUAUACAGUUAUUUCCAUUUGAUUACCUAUUUCACAAAAAGGCUACUUACAAUAUAGGAGCCAGUAGCCAACUAAGAAGUAUACUAUUCAUUUCCGGAAGUGAAUAUUCACAACUGAUGGCUGCAACGACAAAUUCUGCUGAAUAGAGAGAGCAAGAGGCAAAAAUGGAUGAAAAAUAAAUGAAGAAAUCUUUUUUGUUCGACUGUCUGUGCUACCAGCUUCUGGACCUAUUGAAAAACCCAGAGGAUCAUUUAUGUGCUUAGUUUAAAAAGUCAAUUAAGCAAACACACAACACACAUGAUCAACCAAAUCAGAAAACAACAGUUUCGAUGACAUGAUUAACAUUCCUAUAUCAAAUUAGCCAAAUUGAAAAUAAUUCAGCCGUUCAACUAUUGUCACAAUCAUUCCAGUGAAUCAUCAGAAGCAGUGUUCAUCUAUUUAUCUUAUCAAUUGGAUGACUCAAUGGUUUAUGAUUUGGAUGAUCCUUAAAUGGAAACCUAAAAAUGCAUGGUUUCAAAGAUUUGAUCACAUUGCAAGCUGCACCUCACAUGUGGCCGUUAAGUCAAAUCCUCAACUUAGGUUUUUCAAUCAAUCACCAAUGUGUGUGUGUUUGUGUGUAUAUAUGGGUCAGGUUCAAGGUAUGCACAAAAGGCCAUAUUUUUUUACACACUUUCUCAACCUUCACAUCUUUUAUCAUCCAAUGGAUAGAAAUGCAUCUCACACAACAAAUAACUUCAUUAUUUUCUCUCUUCGUUUAUUUGUUGCACACUUGACGAGGUGGGGCAUUUAGUCUCUCUCAUUAAAUGUGGUGUCUCAUUCUUCUAGAUUAUUUUGUUUCCGUUUAAUUCUGAAACGAAGCACUAAACUUCAUCUGGUUUCUUCUCUCCUAUUUAAAUCAAACUUUUUUGUACUCUAGCCGGAAAUCAUGCAUUAGCAGAGUUUGUCACUCUCAUCAAACUUUACAAAUUCAGCCUCCAGUAGAGAACCAAACUUCCCGUAUCAGAGUGGCAUCACAUUCAGAAAAAGAUUGAGUUGGAGGAAGAGGAAACUGUCAUUUUUCCGUAAUUUUUUUCAAACCCACAGUUUAUUUUGAGGAAGUGAAAUAAAUCCGCUCAAGUUUUUAGAUAUGUUAAUGAAAUUAACCGGGUAGAUGGGUUAAAUUGUACGUGUGAAUUUUUAAAGUGCAAGGGUGAGUAAGUCAUGAGCUACAAAAUGGAAUAAGUAGCGUUCAGGUUUUGAGAUGGAGGAAGCAGUGUAGACAGACCAACUUUUGGUUUUACAUUUGUUUUUUUUUCUAAUUUAAUUUUGUCUUAUUAUUUUUUUUAAAAAUUCAAUCAUGGGGAGAGGAGAGAGUGUAGGAGAAAAAAUGGUGAGACAGAAGAGGUUUCCUUUUGGGUAAGAACUGAGAAGAGUUUUAUUUUCUGUCAGUUUGCAGAGAGGAAAAGAAUUUGUAAGGAAGAAGAACACAUCACAUCUAAAGUGGAAAGAUUGACCAAUAUUGAAUAAUGUGCAGUAAAAUAUUUUUUAAUCUUCAGGAUUGGUGGAGAGAGGGAAGAGAUAAGAGAAUAAGAAUUGAAGCACACUUUUUAUUAUUGUAAGGUUCAAGAUAUAUUAAUUUCUUUGAAUGUGUUUAAAUCUAAUGGCUUAAAAUGUAUAAUUUGUGUUAAAAAUGUAUGUCCCCCCGAUCCUGGCCCUAUAUACGUAUACAUGUAUAUAUGUGCGUGCAUGUAUACAUAUAAAUAACAAUACUGGUAAAUGAUAGAUACCUGUCUUGAUUUUAAAUUUCAGCGUAUUUGGUGGCCUUCUUAAGAUGAACUUGAUGGGAUGGUCUGUUGACUGUCUAUGCCGAUCAGUCGCAGAAAUCAACUGCACCAGAAACACAUUUGAAAUUGUGAAACCUUAGUAGAGGGGGUUGAAUUGACAAAACUGAUUUUCCCAUAAGGUAUCAAAAUGCAUUGUGUCACAUUCAGGAGAGAACCACACAAGAAUAAGCGGGUGUGCUCACCCGUCUACUUUUCUAAAUUUUCAAUUGUUUCGACUGGGUGUGCGUUACAUGUCAACAAACGGGGCUCCUGAGAAACCCUACGAUUUUGGGAGGCAAGAAACUCUAGCAAAUAGCUGGACACAGCCUUGAAGAAUCUAACCCUAGACAACGUGGGAACAAACCACGGGCCUGACCACUAGCCUAAACCCUCGCAGGUUAUAUCACAGUUCAAAAAAAGUUUCUUUGAUUAUUUUGAUUGAUUUGAUUUGAGCACACAGCAUAAGCAAUUCACAUGACUACACAAAAACCAAACAUAGAACCUGUACUCAAACCUGCCACAAACAGUCAACUAUAAAAUUUGUGAUGUGGAAAUAGCUUUCCUUACAAAUGGAUUCAAAAAUAUCCAAUUACAUAAAGGUAGAAUAUAUAACGCGAUGUCAUUUAAAUUUUGCACAGGACAAACCACAAACCAAAACUCCAUCAGAUGCAAUUUGAUGCAAGAAGAUUGGUCUUAUUGAUGUUUCUGUAGAUAUGUUUUUAUAAACGUUUUCCAAUGUUUAAAAGAUUAAAUUAGUUUAUUUGGUCAACUUUGGACUGCGUAGGUUUUCUCUUGCUAAAGAUAACUGGAGCAUACACAUAAAAAGACUAUAUUCCUCAGCUUAAUGCAAACAAAGCAGUUCAUGGAAUGGGAAAUUUUUAGUUUCUGAAUCAAACCUUUUCAUCAAAGCGAAAAAGAGAUUGGUCAAAGUAGGGAGAAGGGCUCUGCGACUGACAACUAAAAGGCAAAGAAACUAGCAUCUUCUUCACAAACUGCAGGAUCAUAAACUGAUUAAAUGUGAGGUUUGGGCACAUAGAUAAAUACAGAAUGCAACCACAACAUUAACAAAUAAACCGUGUUAUCAUGCCUUAAUGAUACAAAAGUAACUGGAAGCAUUGCUAUGAGGUUUGGGCACAGAAGAUAACCAUACUGAUAAAUAAACCUUGCUAUCAUGCCUUAAUGAUGCAAAAGUAACAGGUAGCAUUGCUGUAUAAGAUAUGCAUGUAACUAAUUCUGAUAGUGAAACUUCACCUGCAAAGAACUACUUGCUUUAUUUUUAGCACUUCUUAGUUGCUCCCGAGCAUGCAUGUUAUUUGAGUGGGAUGAAAUGAAAUUCAAAUACAACGAAUUUCUUGAUGUUGCAUGAAAGUGAUCGCAGAAUUGCUCAAACAGGAGAUAAAGCUCAUCUGCCGUAUUCUACAAGGAAAAAUGUCAAAUAAAGCAAGGUCUUGUUUUGAUCUGUGAAAACAGAAGAAAGAAAUUGAAAAGAAACAGAAAACAAUUGUCACAAAAUUACCUGAUAAAAAGCUGCGAUUUCAGUUGUCUCCAUGUUAUAUACCGCAAAAAAGGCUGGGUGCUGAUCAGCAUUACGUGAUACCUGCUCCAACGAUACCAAAAAAAAAAAAAAAACCAAAAUUAUGAAGUAUUCAAUCCAAUCAGCACAAAGCCCAUUGAGCACAAGAAAGCAAACUCUGCGAAACCCACAUUAAUACUGAUAAUGUUUGUUAGUUUACCACUAUCCCAAAAGCUUAAGCUGUUGUGAUCUGUGCCAGCAUUUGUACAAAAGGCACAUGUUAAAGAUAUCUUGUGACAUUUGUGCAGUGGGAACAUGUCAAAGACUACAAAUGAAGAAUCUUGGAGCAAGAUUCAUAUUUUCCAGAGUGACACCAAACAUCUACAACUAAAUAUAAAAAAUACCAGAGUGACCAAAAAUCUACAACUAAAUAUAAAGAAUCUUGGUCAAAUUCAGAUGUCAACUCUGUUGAACAAAUGGUACAACUACAAUGGAUAGGGUGACUCAUUCCUGAAAGCAUCUGGGUUCAAUACGACAGAGUAAUUUAUCCCCUCUCCACCCUAUCACAGAUGGAGGAUUAAAUUAUGUGAUCAAAGAGUGUCCAAACAUGAAGUUUAUAUUUCUUAGAACGAGUAUGAUAUGAACGUAAUGCUAGAAAGAAGUCUCACCCCUCCAUCUACACUACCAAACUUUAUUAGCAGGUGGUGCCGGUCCAAGAAUUGUACCUGUCCAAGAGUUGUGUACAAACUUGUUACAUGUCAUAUUUGGUGCGCAUUAUCAGAUUGCCUGUUAUAUGGAGCAGUGAAGAUUAUGCAAGUGAUUGCAGAAGUCUCAUACUAUAUACAUCUACAUUUUAAAGAAAAAUAAUGCAAGCCUUACCUUCCAGAUCACCAAGUCAACAUAGUCUUGGAAAUGGAAAUAGAACUUCUUCUUCAGGGAUUGGACCCUCUGGAGUGAAAAAGUCAUAAAAGUUAGAUUAAUUACAUUAAAAACAUUUAUUGCAAAACAUACAAAUAAACUGAUUGCAUAAGAGCUAAUGACAAACAAAAAAUAAUGCACAUAGGCAAGAACAAAUAAAUGUUCCAAUUGAAGCAUAAUAUCAAGUAAUUCAAAACACAUAAAUGCCUGGUGCAAGAUUUUCAUUUGGGUUGGAUGCUUAAACAUCAUAUUAAAUAGUUGUGCUUCCAUCUUAAUGAUUUUCUGUCUAUCAUAUAACCCAGAUCUUUUAAGGGAUUGGCACUGUUGUCUGCAUGGGAUGGUGGCACAUUUAGGUUCAUGGUACAGCUUUAGGAAUGUGAUAUGCUUUUGUUUCCUGGUAAUUGAUAUGCUCCAGUGCCUUGUACUAGCUAGGUUAUGGGGCAUACUUAGGUUACUAUUUAAGAUAGUGUUUCACUUUGGAUUACUUAUUGUUCAGAUCAUUUCUGCACAAUCUGGAAGUAGAUCAGUACAUGCGUGCCUGAGAGCAUAAAUACUUACAGGCAAGCACAAAAACGCUAAAUAUCUUUCCACCUAAAUUUGAAUUUUCUGUGCCAAAAAGUAGGCUAAUAUUCAUACAAUUCUAUUUUAUAAAAACUACACACAUAAAGUGUACCAUAUCCACAUAGCCCAAGAGCUUACUAAGAGAAUGAAAAUGGUUUCAGAAAAUGCCGGUAAACAAACAUUAAUGUAAAUCACAUCUGCUGCAACCCCAUCGAAAAGAUAUUCCAAAGUGAUGUGUUGCAGCAGCUUGGAAAACAUAUUCCAAAGUGCCAUGGCAAGAUAAAGCAUUUAAAUAACAAUGAACCAUAGAAUGACAGAGAUAACCAACCAAUGCCUGAUCUGGUUCUUCAUUCCAUAUUCCUCUAAAUAUGAAAGAGAGCAACCGCUGUUUGAUUCCACUAAGAAAGCAAUAGUCUGAUGAAGGCUCACUCUGAUGUAAACCAUUCUCAACAGGAUUCUCAGGCAGUUGAUGCAGUUUACCUUUUUCAUGACUAAGCAUACUCUGCCAUCAAUCAAAAGUUGAUUUGUCAAUCAAAUGCUCGACAUAUUAAACAUUAAAAAGAAUUUCUAAUCACCAAACUUUGUCAAUUUCAUGAUAAAGGAGGAAAAAUCAGCAUUAGUUACUAAACUGUGUGGAUGAUUAAAUGAAAAGGCAAGGAAAAUGUGGGUUAGGCUGUAGAGAUCCUUAUUUAGUGGUCCGGGUACAGUUAGGAUGGCAGAGUUUUCGGUCUCAGGAGCAUAUUGCUCUGAUGAAGUGUUGGGAAUAGAGCAAGAUAGGAAAAAACAAUCUUCUUAUUAUCCACCGCGUUAGAGUAUAACACACAGGUGUUUAUACAGAAUCCAGGACAUAAAAUCUGCUCUAAAAUUAGCCUAUAAUCAAGCUUAACAAAUAAGCCUUCAAUUAUGACUUCAAGCUUAGACCAAAAUCAAUCUCCCAGCUGUAAACCGCCUAUAAUAACGGCACACAAUAGCCACAAACAGAAUGGAAAACUAAGUUUUGAACCUGUAGUACAAAUUUAUGUUGCCUUCAAUUAUUACUUCAUUAUUGCUAUUUUUAGCAAAACACAACACAAGUCUUCAUCAACAACAAAUUCAGAGUUUCUAUAGAUUGAUCCUAUUAGACAAGAUAUUAGCAAAUUCCAUUAAUCCAAGUCUCAGUAAAGGCUUGAAAUAUAUGCCACUAACCUGAGUGCUUGAAUUGAGAAAAAGCUCAUCAUCUUCACGACAAAAUGUCCCAAUUGCUCGUAUGUCAACAAGGUUCCCAGAGUCCCUGAUUUGCAGUAUGUGUAUUGUUUGAUAGCGAAUUGACACAAUUGCCAGUAAAUCAUCAUACAAGAAGACACCCAUGUUAUGGGCCAGGUUAAUAAAAUCGUUGUGAAAGCACUUCUGAUCCAGAACAACUCCAUCUUCCAAUCUAAGCAUCAGAAGGAUUAUCAAACUAAUAAGUAACACAUAGACUAAGCUUCCAAAAACACCCAAUAACAUUUCACUUUCAUAAGUUCUCUGUUAAAUUAUAAUCUAUACAAGAAAAAAACAACAGCAGACCUCAAGAGGUGAAAAGUUAUCUUUUCUAUUGAGGGGACUCCCUGAACAGCUCCUCCAACAGGCGCAUCAUGAUUUUGUGUAGUAGAAGUAGCAAAUAGUCCAAAUUGGUUACUCUCCAUGUAAAGAAAAAAGUCCUUGCAUAUAAGCUCAUUGCUAGAAGCAAGUGAUACACAGUACAGUUGGCUGAAGAAGCUCUCAAACCUCUUUGCUUUUGGGGGAAGAUCAUUAGUAUCGCAUUCUUCCUUGCAUGAAUAUGAAAGCCACGUUGGUCUAUAAACAAUCAGAUCCUGAUGAUUUCUACUGAAACAUAUGAGGUAUUGACCAUCCUCAGUGAUUUUACGGUAUAGAUGGUCUGGGCACUCAACUUCAUAUAUGGUACAAUUAGGGACUAAAUUCUCGUAAAAUCGCCUGGUAUGGUGAACCUGCAAGCAUUAGCAUUACAGGUAGUACUCAGGAUUCUGUAGUGUAUGAACAGAAUAUUGCAACAUUUUUUACCAUUCCACUUCAGUCCCCUAUUCAUUUCUAGAUAUUCUAAGUUUUAUAUAAACAUGUCAUAAGAGAUAGAAAAAGAAGAAAAGAUAAAUUGACAUGAAGUUAGAGAUAAAGAUCACCACAGAGGCAAGACCUUGGCUUUCUGGAAAAAAUGAAGAUAUACAUAGGAAAGAACAAAAAUUUUCUAAUUCUACUGAACAGGAAGCGGAAAAAUAUAUUAAACAACCCAGAAAAAUCAAACAAGCAACAAAAAACAGUAGAUAAAUAAAUAAAUAAAAGCCUGAAGCACUAAGUAGUUGUCCAUGCAGCUUUAUAUUAAUCAUAACAUAAUAACAGUAACAAGAGGUAAAGAGUAACAAGAAGGUACACUAGUGCCAGGAGCAACAGUGGAAAUUUGGCGGUCGAAAAUCCUGGCAGCAAUAUUGUGUCUUCUAAACAUUACUAUUGAUGACUUCUACUGAAGCUGGAAGCUGAAGCUCAAUUGAUAUUCUAUCUACAAACAAUUACUUACUUAUUAGAAAAGAGAAAAUGCUUCUAUUAAUUGAAAAUGGAGAGACAUGAGAAUUUAUUACAGAUCUAGGUUUCCGAAGGCGUUGCCUAGGUGCUCGUCGGAGCUCAGGCGUUCCGUUAUUUAGCUGUUUGCACGCUUAGCAUUUGCGUCGGCGGCGAGCUUCAGUGCCGCUUUGUGGCUCUGUGAGGCGCAUCUGCGCGAGGAAGAAGAAGGCCACGCGUCGUUUUGAGGUGCUGCUGAGUUUAUCUUCUAACACGCUGCCCCUGUCUGAUUAUUAUUAUUUCUUUAAAGAACGCUGCCACUACUUUAAAAGAAACGCUGCGUUUUAUGAGCAGCAAAAUGUUUUUUUGUUUUUUUGUUUAGCAGUCUAACUUAGCCGUAAUCCCCUCUCUCUUCCCCGAUAAUACAUUCAAUUUGAGAAUUCUCCCCAACCAUAGGCUGCAAGUAGGGGUACAAGUUGUAUUGGAAAUUCCAAUUCAAAAAUUUCUGAUUUUGGCAAGUUCAAAUCAAUUCCGACAUUCGAAAGUUCUUAAAUCUGAAAAUUCAAAAAGAAAUUUGAUUGGAAUUGAAAUGUAUUUUAAGAUUCUGAAUUCCAAAAUAUAUCAAGGGUUCAAGCUUAGACUAUAUAUAAUGACUAGUUUUAUGUUGAAUUUGAAAUGACUUAAUGGUCAAAUAGACACAGACGAGCUAGUUCAUAAAGGAUAACAACAUAUAAGUGAUAGUAUGUAAUAGUUUUUCGAGUUUUCACGUAUGAUUAUUCAAUUUUAACCUUUCAAAUAGUUAGAUAUGUUUAAAAAUUUCAAUGAUUUUCCAAAAAUAUGCAAGUUUCGAAAUUUUCCACAAAUUCCGAAAAUUCCAAGUUUUCCAAAUUGGAAUAGAUGUUGAAAUUUUGAAAUUUUUUGAAACGGAAAUGGAAAAGAAUUUUCAUUGAAAUUUUUUUUAGAAUGGAAUUGGAAUCCCCUUAUUCUGGUAUGAUCCAUCUGAAAAUCAGCCCUAGCUGCAAGUCAGCCAUUCUAUUCAUCUAUAACUCUUCACCUCGAAGCUCCACUUCAGUUUAAGCAUAUCUCUGCUUCAGUUAUAUAUAUAUAUAUAUAUAAUUAUUUGUUAUUGAUUAUAUGUCUAGAUUAUUUUUAAUUUUUCAAUUUAUUGCUUAUCCCAUUUCGUAUAUGUGAUAGAGUAGAAAUUAUACAUGCAUGCAUUGUUGAUACAAAAUAUCCAUUAGGCUUGCCAAAAAGAACCCAAGAAAUAGGCAUGGGCAUGGUCUGGUUCGAUGUUGUAUUCCUUCUAAGUGCCAAUAUAUGGUUAGUAUAGUGGUACAAGUAAGGGUGUCAAACCAUAGGGACUAAUUAGACCUCUAUAAAUUACUAGCUUUGAAAGAACCCUAACUAAAAAAUGAAAGUGACAUAUUGAAAGUAGUUUUUGUGUUGUAAAUGAAAAAUAACUUAGAAUGCAAGAAAAAUGUAGCAGUGAAUGAUAUAUUGAUGUAGAAAGAAUAGGGAUGAGACGAGGGAUUUCGAAUUCACCAUUGCAAAACCAAUUCCAUGUUUAUAAAGUAAAACUGUAUUCAACUACCAACCUGUUUCCAGAGUUCGUUUUACAUAUACAUGAUUUGUCAUAUGAUGUGUGGUUUUGAUCAAAUUCUCCUAAUCUGCAACCUAAUUGGGAUGUUCAACUUUGGUUCCAAGUUAAGAGUCAUUAGCAUGCAAGAAAACGUUAAAGAACCAAAGAAAAUACACGGCAGGAUGUUUGCAUAACCUUGUCCAUAUAAUAUGUAGGCAACCCUAAUGGUGAUCAAACAUUAAAAUUGACAAACAAAUUUAAUAAUAGAUUCAGUGAAUGAAACAAGAAGCAAAUUGAUGAACUGAAUACUUUAACUUAGAAACAUGGAUUGAUGUUGCAAGGCUACAUCGAAAUCCCUAGUUAUGAAUUUAGUUACACAUCAUGUUCACAGAGAUUAAAAAGAAAAUAAACAACAUGAGUGAAAAUAAAUUCAAGAGAGGAAACCCUUGAACCAAUUUUGAUGUUAAACUUCUACAAGAACAACCUGCUGCAAUGAGUCCUGAUGGUGGAAAUAUAUGGAAUGGCUAGGGUUUAAGUGUGCAUGAAAGGAGAGAAAAACAAAAAAGGUGUAGGGUUGUGAAAUUCGCCCAGAAUAAAUAGGGUCUGUAAAAGUGGCUAAAAGGCAAGUUUUUAUAGGGUAAAAGAGGCUGCAAGAUAUUCCAAAGAGAUCCUAACAAAUUAGCCUUUAUUUUGCACAUUUUUGCCUUAUUUGCACCUCCAAACCAAGCUAGAAAUCCCCAUUGCUUUUUCAUUCUGCUCUUAGUCUUCAAACAAGCCAGAUUCGCCUUGGAUUCUUUAUUUGGACUUCAAAACAUGUCACGAAACUUGUUUCCACGUUUGAAUAAGGGUCAGCUCCAAAAAUAACAUGUUUUCAUUUCUUUUGCCUUCAACUUGAUCCUAAAGUAGAUGCAACUGCAUACUAACACAAAAUAGGGUAAAAUGCAACAAGUUUAACUCAAAAACAUAACAAAUAGACUAGAAAUGGAUUAUAUAAAUGUAUAAAUAUAUGAGUUAUCAUUCAGCCCGGUUCUCAGCCAAAUUUAGAACUAGAAUCGUACUGUUCAUCUGGUUAGGUCCGGUUCGAUUGUGAUGAAAAAUUAAUUAUUUAACCAAACCAACCCGGAUCAGUUCAGAUUAUGUUCGAUUGCGGUUUUCCCGAUUUGGACAGGCAAACAAUCCCAGCUCAGUUUUUUUUUUCUUCAAACUUCUCCAUCAAACAAUCAUCUUCACAGGUUCCUCAUUAGUCAUUUCUCGGCGCAUGGUUGAAGGGAAAAAAAACCCAAAAUUAGAUUUUAGUAAAUAAAUAAAAAAUCUUGCAGCUUCUCUUACUGCAUUUUUCCAGCAACAAAUCCAACAAAAUGAAAAACAAAUCCUCCAACCUAUCGAGCAAAAUAGAUCUAGCAAAACAAAAAGAGAAAUCAGACAAAGAGGAGAGGAGAGGAGAGGAAGAGGAGAAGACGAGAAGAAGAAGUUGAGGCUAGGUUUUCUUCAGGAGAGAGAGAGAGAGAGAGAGAGAGAGAGAGAGAGAGAGAGAGAAGAAGAAGAAGAAGAAGGAUAGUUUAAAAAACAAAAAAAAAAAGGAGAAAGAAGAAAAGAGAGAGAGAGCGUGGACACAAGGAAGGGAGAAAAGAAAGAAGAAGGAAAAAAAAAGAGAAGAAGAAGAAGAGAGGGAUAGAAAAACAAAAACAAAAAAAAGGAAGAAGAAGAAGAGUGAGAUAGUGUCGGCAGUGAAGAAAGAAGAAAUGAGAGAGAGAGAGAGAGAGAGAGAGAGAGAGAGAGAGAGAGAGAGAGAGAGAGAGAGAAACAAGAGGGGAAAGAAAGAAUAAGAGAGAAGAAAUGAGAGGAAAGAAAUAAGAGAGAGGAGGAGGUGGAGAGAAUUGAGAGAGAGAGAGAGAGGAGUGAGAAAUGAGAAACAUAAAAUAUUGAUUUGAUUAAUUAUGGCAUAAGGAACAUACCAAAAUAAACAACUCACAAAAAGUAAGAAAAGAGCCGUUAAGUCUGUCAUACAAGAGAAAGAACCCUUCUCUCUUCCUAACACAUCACACCACACAUGCACUAUACAACCACCCAACUUGCUUUAUUAAUAUCAAUUCUUUUUUAUGCGCAAGACAUAUAAUCCCAUGAAUCAUAGAGCCCCACGUGUAAAUAAAAUAAUAAGAAUAUAUAUUUAAUAUGGCCGGUCCAGUUUGGUUUUUAGGUGAAUAAAAUCGAAAUUGGAACUAAUUUGAACUGGUCUGGUUCGGUUUUUUCAAUGGAUGUUGACUUUUUUGUCAAUUCUUUUUUUUUUUUUGUUUUUUACGGCCCUGUUCGACUCAAUUGUUCAAUUUUGCGGUUUAUACGCCCACACCUACUCGAAAAUAAAGCCAAAAUUACAUGAGGAAGUAAUUGAGCUCAAAUGGCUAAAGGUCAGCCCCAGAUACCUUACUUAUGUUAGACAAAUCUUAUCUACUUGUUCAAAUUCAAACUCUAUAACAGGUGUGGAUAAGGAGUCUUAGUCUGUGUGGGCUUCUUCAGUUGUAAUCUGAUAUGGUUUCUGUUUGUAUUUCAAAUGUAUGAUUUUUGGCUCCCACGUAUAUAGGGAUAUGAUGUAAUCUUUGUAACUGAUACAUUUGUUUUGCUAAUAUAAAUAGGUAAUCCGUCAUGUUGAUGGAGAUAAGCCCAUCAAACAAAUCUUGAGUUCUCUAUUGUUUUUCAUUGUAUCCAGAGCCUUCAGUCUCAGGGCUUGAAAUUUAGACUGAAAUUUAUUUCCACACUUGUUUCAAACUUAUGGCAACCAACAAUUCUUACACCAGCAAUGUUGUAUUUGCUCCUUACAUACCCAUCAUCGUCAACAUCAAACUGGAUCGAUCUAACUAUCCAUUAUGGCUAGCUUAGAUUGUUCCUCUUUUGAGAAGUCGGGAUCUUAUAUCGUUCGUUGAUGGCACCAGUGAAUGUCCUCCUAAGAAUGUUGCUAGGAGUACUGCUGUGAAUCUUGCCUACUCCACCUAGGUUCAACAGGAUCAACUGAUCCUUAGUUGGAUCAAUAGCUCUCUGACUUCAUCUGUUCUCUCUACCAUGUUAAGAAAUUAGACUUCUCGCACAACUUGGCAAGUUUUGGAGCACAGAUAUGCCUCUGCCUCUUAUAAUAGAAUAUUGCACCUACGUAAUGAGUUUCUUCGAACCAUGAGGGGUGAUUUGUCCAUGAGUGACUACCUUGAUCACAUGAAUGCUAUUGGUGACAACCUGGCUCUUUCUGGAAGGCCAGUAGAAAAUGAUGAACUUGUCCAGAUUAUUAUGAAUAAUCUCGAACCAGCCUAUGAAAUGAUCGUGAGUGCAGUGCAAGCUCAUGAUACUCCAAUCACACGUGACACCCUUGAAGCUCUUCUUCUGAAGACUGAGUGAUGAAUGGCAGAGCAAACUAUUCCUAUGCCAGAGAAUAGACCUACGACUUUUGUUACUGCUCGUGGACAUGGUGGUUAUCAAGGACGUGGGCAUGGUGCUACACCACCCACUCGUGGUAUUGAUUACAAUGAGACCUUUAGUCCAGUUAUGAAACAUAAUAUUAUUCACUUGGUUCUAAGUUUGGCAAUCUCAAAUAAAUGGCCAGUACUAUUUGCAUGGUUUCCUAACAGAAGAAGUGUAUGUGCGACAACUUACCAGAUUUAUUGAUUUGCAGCUUCCACAACAUGUGUGCAAGUUGCAAUGCAAUCUCUAUGGGUUGAAACAAUCUCCCAGAGCUUGGUUUCAACAGUUUUUUGACUAUUUACUUGAACUUGGUUUCCAAGAAUCAAAGUAUGAUUAUUUCUGUUUGUUUACAAUCAAAAGGGCAUCUAUUUGAUUAUGUUAAUAUAUGUUGAUGAUAUUUUGGUGACGGACUGUUGAAGGAAAAUGUGAACCUCUCAACAUAAUUUCACCACCACUAAUUAAAUAAUAGGGUUUUAUUAUUUUAGGUUCAACUCAUUCGAGACGCAGUGUCUCUUAAUUACAAUCUCUUUCUUCAAGGGAACACCCUUUGAUUCCAUCAUAAAGAAACAGAAUGUGUGUGUUUGGUUCUGCGGCUGCCUCUAAGUCCAACCUCAGGGUGCCUAUGUAUCCCUUGCGGGAAUCAAGACACUCGUAGUUCAAAGAAUUGCAAUGAAUAAAUGACUCAUCGCAAAAGGAAGAAUUUGAAUGAAUUUGAUUGAGGAUUGUUUGAGUGAAUUUAGCUGAAUAAACCAGAGAUUCGAUACGAAAUUGUGUUUGGGGGGCGAAUUUGGUUAAGAAUAAACCAGGGAUUCUGUUUGGAGAUUUGGGUGGUUGCAUCUUGUAGGGGGCCUUUUCUCCCGGCAGCUGUAAAUGGGCUGGGCUGCCGUGAAGGGCAGACUGAUGGAAUUAUCCCCCUUGUCUGAAUUCGAAAAUUAAGCCCCGAAAAUACUUCGAAAGGACAGCGGAGCCUUAGGAAGUAUUUUGGUUAUCUUCACCAACCAAAAUAAUGACAGCUUACAGGUAAUUUCUUCAUGCUUACAGAUAAACUUUCAGCUCAGCGUGAGUGGCAUGUGGCAUGGAAGCAAAAUCAACAUGGGUUUAGCACUGAUGGGAAAUUUAGGCUUUCUUAAGGGGGGAAGGGGAAGUGUUAAGGUGAGAAAAGAGAGAUUUGUAGGAGAUUUGGCUAGGAAGAAAGAAAUGAAGAACAAUGCUAUUCUGACAGCUUGACAGAUACGCUGUCUGCCAGAAGAGAAGAAUGGAGAAGAGGGUGAACAGUGCACGAAAUUGUUGGGUUUUUGCAAGUUAGAGAGAAACAUUGCUCUCUAGGCGUGGGUUUUGGUUGAGUUUUGUUGGGUGGAAGAGGCCUCAUUUUAUAGCCGCUGGAAACCAUCACUUCCUAAUAAAUCUUAAUGGCUUCUACCCAUUUUGGCCAAGCUUUUCCCUUCCUUUCUCAUCUCCUUCCUUGACUUUUCCCUUCUUGAUGAAAUCCAUUCUGCCUAUUUGCACCAGAUCAGAGUUUGGAGCUCAAGGCCUCUUUUUCCCGCUGCUGUCUCUAUGGGAGACUUCCAUUCCCAGCCAUCUCUUUUAUCGCUUUCUUCCUUUUUUUUCCAUGGCUAAGUCUGAUGAGGAAAGGAGCUGGGAUAUAUAUGCUGGUUCAAAGGGUGCUUUUUUCUCUUUGCUAAUAUCCCCUGGUUCCUUGGAUGUUUUAGCUUUGAAACUUGCUCCCUCCAUGUGCUGGAACCUCCCAGCAGCUUUGUUCAAUGAUCCUGCAGACUUUCUCAAUGUGGCUUCUAUUUUCAAGCAAAGGGCUGAGGUUUUUUGUGGCUUAUUUUAGGGUUUUGUAUGGGCCCAGGUGGCUCCUUGAGCAAGUGGGUUAUUUUUGUUAAACAUUGGGCUUUUUGGUUGUGUCAAUAGGCCAUUUUGCUUGGGCUAUUGGGCUAUUUUUUCUCUUUUGUGCUCACCCACAUGUUUGGGCCUAAGAAAUGGGCCUGAGUCUCGAGGCUCCCAAGCAACCCGAGACCUUCCAUUUCUCGGCCCAUCAAUGGGCCCCAUGUUGAUUCAUUACCAUCCAUACCACAACCCACUCAAGCAAGCCCCGGGCAUUUGAGUGGCUUGGGCCCACUUAGUCUUGUAGCGUGGUUAGGUGUGAGAUAACGAUUUUGUGCUUGGCAUGGCAUGUCGCUUGUCAUGUUUUAAUUUUAUCGUCCUUGGGAAGGACUGCGAUGUUUAAUUUCGGCAUGGGCUUGUAGAGCCGGUAUAUUUUAUCUCAACCCCUAGCAUAGCGAAUUUAUUUAGCAUGGCACGUGAACUACAACUCGCAUGUGGCGGGUUUUCGUGUACUCUGCUUUACACUUUUUCUUAAUGGAGUGUCGUUUUGGGCUGAUAAUUUAUUCGGGCCCAACCAUGAAUUUUUUGGGUCUCAACACAUCUAGAUUGAUUCUCUAGAUUGCCUACGUACUCUUUCGAAGGGAUCAAACCAACGUAGUUCGGAAUUGAUUUAUGUGGAGAUAAAUAUUUGAUUUGUGGGAAUUUGGUUGAUAUAACCAGUGAUUCAAAUUUGAUUGCGGUUGCGUCUAUUAGGAUGCUAGACUGCCUACGUACCCUUGAUGGGAUCAAACCAGCAUAGUUCUAAAAUUUGAAAAUUAAUGGGUAAGUGUGGCUCAAUAAUUUAUAAUUUGUCUUUGAAACAAUUUGGAGAUUUUCAUAGGUAGAUGACCUAUGGGAAAAAUUGAAAAUUAAUGAGUAAGUGUGGCCCACUAAUUGAGAAUUUGUGUUUGAGAGAUUUGAAUUUAAUAGAAAAAUUGGAAAUUAAUGGAUGAGUGUAGCCCACUAAUUGAGAGUUUGUGUUUUGAGAUUCAAAUUUAAUCUCAUUGGAAUUUUCUUGGGUAGAUGACCCAUGGGAAAAAUUAUAAAUUAAUGGGUAAGUGUGGCCCACCAAUUGAAAAUUUGUGUUUUGAGAUUUAAAUUUAAUCUCAUUGGAAUUUUCAUGGGUAGAAGACCCAUGGGAAAAUUGGAUGGUUUUGUACCAUUUUUCUUUUUGUCAAUGUCCAAGAAAAAUAAUGAGCAAUUUUGAUUAACCCACUAAUUUUCUAAAGUUGAAUUUUUAAAUUGAUCCAUGAACCAUAUAAUAGGCAAUUUGGGCCUCUAUAAAUUUAAUGAGUAAUUAUUUAGAUCACUCAUUAAAUACUAUGGGCUUUUGAGAAUUAAUGGGCAAUUAUUUUGGACAGCCCAUUAUUCUAUUUCGGGCAUUUGAUAUUUGUUGUCAGUUAGCCCACGAGCAAGGAGUCCACGAAAAGCUUUGGUCCAGCAGUUGAUUGAAGCAACCUGAAAGCUAUCACAAUUGGUACAGAACCUUUGCAAGCAAAAGGAGAAAACUGCCGCAAGCUAUGAAGGAGUACUAGCCCCUUUUUAUAUUUUGUUUCUGUACUUAUUUUUCUUUUAGCUGACAUCUUUCCUUUCUUCUUUGAUGUCCUAUUAGUCUUCAACCUUUUAGUCAAACAAAGUGGCGUACAACCACUUCACUUUUCUUUUCUUUCUUUUUUUAUGGCAUCUUUUUUUCUUCUUUGUUUUUUUUGCUUUUUGCUCCUAUAAACGUGGCUGUCCCUUUUCUUCAUUGUUUUUGUUUGUUGUAGCCAAUUUUUUUGUUUUGUUGGUGCACAGACGAAAGCCUCCUUACACAUGGCUUUUCUUAUUUUUAAGGCUUUUUAUCACAAAUGGUCCUUCACGUUUACGAAAUUAUCACGAAUGGUCCUUGAGGUUUUUUUGUGACACUAAUAAUCCUUAACGUUUGGACUUUUUAUCACAAAUGGUCCCUACCGUCAUAAAUUCUGUUAAGUGUCUGAGGCGGAAAAUAAGUGGAACCCACAUGUCCAAUCACAUCGUGACAUGUGGAUUAAAUAAUAAAUAAAUAUUUUUUUUUUAUGAAAAUCCAUUAAAAAACCAUUUAGCCUCUCUCUCUCUCUCCCCGUCUCUCUCUCUUUUCCUCUGCCCUCUCUCCUCCCUGUGCUUUCCCUCUCCCUCUGUUUUUUUGUUGCCUCUACAACCCAACCACCCCAUGCCCACCCGCUUCACUCAAGCUAUUAGGUUUUGGUCUGCAGCAUUCUUAUGUUGUGUAUCCACCUGAAGCGCUGAGACCUCCGUCACCAGAGGAAAUGAGAGAGAUGGCGCGAGAAGUAGCUAGGAAAAAAAUGCCCGUCGAUGCUUUGUUUGGGGUUCUUUUCUUUUGUAACUUGUAAGUGCCUGCUAUAGAGAAAACAAAAAAAUUCUGUGUUUUGCAUUUAGAUUUCAGUCGAAAUAAUGGUGAGGCCAAGUGGGUUUUAUUUCAAGUUCAAGUGUGGCCUUGUAAUAUUCCACAAUCCUACUUAAAUUUUCAAAUCUACUUUGCCCAUUUCAUGCUGUGUGUGGAGGACGAAGGAGCUUUUGUGACUCAGGAUGUAAAUUAUAUGUUGUGAUAAACCUGGAUGGAUUUGAAAGUGACCAAACAUCUACAAUAUUCCUCAUGUACUGUUGAACUUUCAUUUUCGUGUUCUUUGUGGAGUUGGAAUCUACUUGAAAGUGAGUUCUUUUUGGUUUGCUUUUUUGGGUUGUGCUUGAGCGAAGCUGGAAGGUUGAAUAUCUUGAAGGUUUAAUAAAAAAACAGAGGAGGAGAGCAAAAACAAAGGGAGAUGGUAGGGGAGUUGGGCAUGGGUUGCGGGUUGCGAGAAGAGACGGAGAGCAACUAUAUAUCUUAUAUUUUUUUUUCUUGCAGGUGGCAGAGGGAAAAAAAAAAUAGAGAGAGAAGAGAUGGAGAGCAAAGGGUGGAGAGCAGGGGCAGAUGAGGAGAGAGACGGAGCAAGGAAGGAGAUGAAAAGUUGCAGACAAAUAAAUGGAAUUUUCAUUAAAAAUUUAUUUAAUUAUUUUUUAUCCACAUGUCACAAUGUGAUUGGACAUGUGGGCUCCACUUAUCUUCCACAUCACACUUAACAGAAUUUAUAAUGGCAAUGACCAUUUGUGAUAAAAAGUCCAAACGUUAAGGACUAUUAGUGUCACAAAAAAACCUCAAGGACCAUUCAUGAUCAUUUUGUAAACGUGAAGGACCAUUUGUGAUAAAAAAAAAAACCUAUUUUUAAAGACCUCCAUCCUUCCUUCUUCCUUCCUUUGUUUUGAUUGUUUGCAAACAAUCCCCAGAUGAGGAAUUCAAAGAAUGGGCUGCACAACGUGGCCUUCAUUUUUUAAGCUUUGUUUCUCUCCUUUCUGUACACACAGCUGAUUUUUUUAUUUGCUGUGAGAUUAAACAGCCAAUGAUUUUGUUUGUGGGUUUUGUACCCAAAUUGGAUUUGUCAUCUAGAGAACUCAGUGAAUGAGUUUUAUGCCCAAAAUGGAUAUACCAUUUGGAGUAUUUGAUUGAGGGUUACACACCCAUGAUAGAUUUUGUAUCCAAGAUUUUUUUGGGAUGUAAAACCCAAAGCCUUGAUUGAGAGUGAAACAACCAAACUUUAUUUCUAGGCUGCAAUACCCAAACUUGUUUUCAAAGUGCAAACCUACAUUUGUUUUCAGGGUGAAAUACCCAAGCUUUGUUUUCAGGGUGCAAAACCAAAUGCUUUGAUUUCAAGGUUUAUUACCCAAAGAUGGAUUCAACAUCCAAGAAAUUUUGUUUCAAGGGUUGUCAUCCAUUUGAUUGAUUAAAGGGUUGCCACCCCAUAUGGAUUGCCAUCCAUUUGAUCAAUUAAAGGGUUGCCACCCAACAUGGAGGACCUCAAGAGAGGAGCUUUGUUGCAAAUGCAUAUUUGAUUGCUUCUGUCUUUUUUUCUUUCCAGUCUUUCGGCUCUCCUUUUCUGUCUUUGUGGCCUUGCAGUUUUUUUUCUCUUUGAAGCCUCCUUGUUCCUUUUUCUUUUCACGCUUGUCUUGACUAUCCUUGGAGCUAGACCAUUAGUCAAACUAUUUGAGCAUUUUGUUUGGCUAUUUUCAUCCGCAAUAGUAACCAAGACUAGCAUGGCUUCUAACUUUGUGUCUUCUUUUAUCUUCUAGCCUCGAGCUUGGAUUGUUGGUUUUGAAAUAUUCUCUUCUUAGAUAGGAGAUUUGUAACUUGUUACCUCAUCACCUUUGAGGCUAAAAACAUCAUUCAGGAAUGAUGUGACGUCGCCCAUUGCUUUGGAGUAACAGUACGACCCAUUGAAGGUCUUGGCUUCCCCUUGGGUAUUUGAAGAUGCCUAUGUGACAUAUGAGUUCCAUGUUUUGGAUUGACUUUGAACUGAGAGGAUUACUCCUUGUAACAUCAGUUUCAUGUCUUGACUUGACUUUGAGCUAAGGGGAUUGACCCCCCUGUCAUAUAUAAGCUUUAUGUCUUGACUUGACUUUGAGCUGAGGGGAUUGUCCCCUGUCAUAUAUCAGCUUAAUGUCUUGAUUUCACUUCCAUGUGUUCACUUGAGCUGCAACUUGAGAGCUGCCCCCUGUGACAUAUUAGCUUCAUGUGUUGGCUUGACUUUGAACUGAUAAGAUUACUCCUUGUGACAUCAGUUUAAUGUCUUACAUUUACUUUGAACGAUAGGAUUACUCCUUGCCACAUCAGUUUCAUGUCUUGACUUAAGUUGCAACUCGUGGACUACCCCCUGUGGCAUACCAGUUUCAUGUCUUGAUUUGACUUUGAGCUGAGGAGGAUUACCCCCAAUGACAUGUCAGCUUCAUGUCUUGACUUGACUUGUAAGUGGGGGGUACUACCCCCUAUGGUGCUCGACCUUUCAUCACUUGAUUGGCAAAGCUUUACUUUGCUCUAUUUAUAUUUAUGAAUUUGUUGGACUUGUUCAACCUUGAUGAUUCCACUUAGUGAGCAUACUUGGAUAGUGAGUGUUCUUUAGCAGAAAUCACCAUCAUAGGUUUUGUGAUGCUCAAGCUAACAUCGGUCAGUCCUUUAUGGCCUUAGCAACCAUUGAUGUUGAAGCUAGAAAGACCGAGUUGAUAAAGAUUCAACCAAUCAUGACUGAGUGCUUGUAAAGGCUUUGCUAACCUUGGAACCUUAGUGGCUUUGACGAAGUUAGCCUUAAUGGCAUUUGUUGCAGCAGCUUCAAAAUCUUUGAUUGGGACAACUUUACAGUUAAUUUUCUUCCUUGGAGCUCUAACAACUCUUUUUCUUGCAUUUUGGGGUUGCCUUCUUAGAUGGAGUUCUUGUGGCUUGGGCAUUAAUGACCUUUGCAAUCGCCUUGCUAACCAUAACUCUGAAGGGGCUCUUGGAAGCAGAGUAUAGCUUGUGAUGCCCUUGUUUUGGUUUUUAAUAACCUGUAGAAAUUUUUCCUCUCUUCCUUGCAUUGCUCUAAUUUCUCCAGCAGUCUUUUUUAAUCUGUCGUCGGCUUUUUCCCUUUCUUUUUCUUUUUUUGUUGUAGCCUUUUUAUAGGCCAACUAAAUAAGACUCUUCUGAAAACACAACACUUUUUGAAUUUCAAGUAAGUGCUGAUCAGCUUUAGCCUUAUCAGUUUGAAACAUAACAGAUAUCCCAAAAAUUUUGGGAACCUAAGUUGGUUUGACUUUAUCAUUUAAUCUUUAUUUAAACUAAAUGAUAAGAUUUAUUUGGCCAAAUUUUUUGUUUCAACACGGACAAUGACCAAACACAUGUUUCUACACUUAUUAGACGACUUGGCACUUCAUUUUCCAUGAAGGAUUUGGGACCAUUACACUAUUUCUUGGGAAUUGCAGUUGAUUACAAUGGUGAUUCAAUGCACUUGAUGCAAUCCAAGUAUGCAUUGGACUUGCUCUCUAGCACAAAAUUUAUUGAAGCAAAGCUUAUUUCUUCUCCCACCACAAGUGCUCAAAGCCGAGUGCUCUUGACAGUAAGUCCUAUUCUGAUCUGACUUUAUAUCGAAGUGUUGUCAGUGCCUUGCAGUACCUUACAAUCACAAGACCUAAUCUUUCUUAUCUGGUCAACCAAGUUUGUCAGUUCAUGCAGAAUCCUAUGAGUAUUCAUUGGUUUGCAGUGAAGAGAAUCCUACAGAAUUUGAAGCAUAACUUUGAUCAUGGAUUAGUGUAUCAGCCUAGUGACUUGCAACUUCAUGCCUUUUCUGCUGUGGACUAUGCUUAAAAUCCAAAUUCAUGACAUUCCAUAGGUGGUUUUUGUAUCUAUUUGGGCAAGAAUUUGGCUUCAUGGAGUUCUAAGAAGCACAUGACUGUGUUAAGGUCUAGCACAUAGGCUGAAUAUAGACAAAUUGCGUAUACUGUUGUGGAACUUUCUUGGUUUCGUUCUUUGUUUCGGGAUUUACAGCUUACUUGAUCUCCUCCCCAAAUUUGGUGUGAUAAUAUGUCAUCUUUUGCUAUGGCUUCCAAUCCUGUGUUUCAUUCUCGAACCAAAUAUUUAGAGGUUGAUUAUCACUAUGAUUGAGAUAAGGUGGUUCGAGGAGAAUUGCUUGUUCAUUUUGUUUGUUCACAAGAUUAGAUUGAUGAUCUUUUUACCAAAGGGUUGUCUACUAUGCGAUUCAAAUACUCGGUGCCCAAGCUUCCCGUUGGUUCUUGUCCUAUCUGCUUGCGGGGGGAUGUUAGACAAAGCUUAUCUGCUUGUUCAAAUUCAAACUCUAUAACGGGUGUGGAUAAGGAGUCUUCGUCUGUGUGGACUUCUUCAGUUGUAAUCUGAUAUGGUUUUUAUUUGUAUUUCAAAUGUAUGAUUUUGGCUCCCAUGUAUAUUGGGAUACAAUGUAAUCUUUGUAACUAAUACAUUUGUUUUGCUAAUAUAAAUAUAUGUUCCAUCGUGUUAAUGGAGAUAAGCCCAUCAAACUAUUCUUGAGUUCUCUAUUGUUUUUCAACUUACACUAGAGGAGACCCAAAAAGGGGUAGGGAAGGCCCACUAGGGUUUUACGCUAUCGAGCCCAGAUACCUCCCUUUAGAGGCCCAUCCAUGGGAAACUGAAAGACCAUUAAAGGCCCACAUAAUAUUCCACUAACGCACGUUUUUUCCAUGGAGAGACACACGUCAGACCGUCACUAACCACACACUCAGAAGAUGUCAUGUCAUUAUCGACUCCUUAGUCUCACAUUGAAAUAGGACACGAGUGAGGUCCAACUUUCCCAAUAUAAAAAUGGAGUACUUUUCACCUAAAAAUGUAGUCUGAACUUUCUUCUUACCAGAGUAUAGUACUUUUGGCAACCUCCUUUAAGGGAAAAAGACUGACUUAGGCAUCGUAGGGUGGUUGGUACCAACCACCACCUUUUUAGUUACCAUUUUUUGUUUCGUUUCCAAAAGAGAGACCAACCGCAGUCUUACUUGGUCAUUCCAAGUAAGGCCAAAAAGCAUACAGAAGUGCAGUACCUAGCUAAGUCUAUCCUUGAGGUAAGGUUGACUUGGUUUGACUCACUCUGAUUGGUUGGAUGAAUUUUACUCAUCAAAUCAUAUUUGUACCUCUGUAACCAUCCUAGCACGCAUGGUUUGAUCGGGUUUAGUGUACUUGUCACUAUAAGCACCUACACACUUAUCUUAGUAUCUCUACACGUAAUGACUUGAGACUAGUCAUUCUCCCAAUUAAGCAUAUAUAGUGCGUACCAGUCUUUGUGGAUGAUCAACGCCCAAUUGAUAAUCCUAUGAACAUGAACAUUUAGGAAAUAAUGUGGAAGUAUGAAAGGUCUCCUUAUAUCCAAUAUAAUUUCAUAGCUCUCAUACUCUAUCAUAUUCGAAUGACUUGUUGUUUUACUAUUAUGAUAAUAUAACUAAUAUCAUGGUUGAAAACAACAAUCUUGCCCACUAGUGAUGGUAAAAUAUCCAAAAAGCAACAUCACAUGUUUGACAUUAUGGUAUAUUUCUAACAUCAAGAAGGGUCAUGAAGCCCUUUUUAUGGUGGUCUUAAAUGACUCGAUCCUUCUAGGAUUAAGACUCCUUAGAGGUGGAUCUGAACUACCCUAGCUCCUUUAGAUUAGAAGUCUUUAGCUUGUAUAUUUUAGGUACUAAUUCUUAUCAAAUAUAAAUUCGGCUGAGUAAGUUUUAUCUAGAGUCCGCCCAAAUUCAUGGACCAAUGUACUCAUGAACCCACUUGAGCUAAGGUGGGAAAUGUAUGUGGCACUUAGGUUCGAGCUUAGCUUGACCACCUGAGUUCGAGCCUCAGCUCGAUCAAGUGGGUCCGAGCUCAGCUCUAUCACUAGGAUUGUAGCCCAAUUCGGUCUUGAGGUAUUUUACCUCAACAACUCCAAGGUUGAACUAGUUUCAGAAAUUCUAGAUUUUUAGGUUUUAAAGACAAGGGUUCAUAGAAUUCGUGAAUAAACAAACCUGCAAUUUCCUUUUGCAAAGAAACCCAAAUUCCAAUAUAAGUUUGCCUACGAAUAAUUAUUAUUAUUUUCCUCCGAAUAGUGACAUAAAUCUCUAAAAAAUUUGUAUUCUAACACGGACUAAGAGUGAUGUAAAAGAAAAUUGUUUAAGGUAGUCCUUGAAGGGUAAGAAACUUAACUUAAAUCACAUAUAUAAGCUUAGGUCCCCACACUAGCCUUUUUUUUCCCACACAUAACAUUUGUUAUCCCCAUUGUAACCCUAUAAAAGGGCAAAAAAAAAAAAAAAAAACAGUAAGGAAGACUUUAUCUCUGGAAAUUAUUCAACCACUUAAGACUUGAAUAAAAUACUAUAUAUAUUCUUUUUACCUUAUUUUUUUCUUUUAUUUUUCAAUUUGAACUUUAACAAAUAAUGGUUUUGUGCUAAAAAGUUAUUUAUGUAAGGCAAAUAGAGAAGGUUCUUGCUUUAUAAUAUAUAUUAAAGAUGUUUUCAAGUGAUUGACUGUACGAUAAAAUAAAGCUUUCAUAAGUCACUUUCUCUUGUUUGUUGCAACGGGCUUGUUUGUGAUUGCUUCUCUAAGAAGUAUUUAUGCUCAUAAGCUCUUCUGGUAAAAGCACUUUGAUUAUAAAAAUGUUGAAUUUUUUUCAUAAGAAAUUCAAGUGCUUCCUAAAAAAGCUCUUGGAGUGCUUCUUGAAGAAGCACUCUGGCUGUUGUGUCAUAAGAAGUUACUUACGAAUGCUCAACGACUGAAGAGACAUCUCACUAAUGUUGCUAAUUGUCCUAGAUGUGUUUGUCCGUUGGAAUCUUGUGCUCAUCUCUUUAUGGAGUGUACUGCCACUCUUGCAAUUUGGAAUAGACUUGGGUUUGGGAGAAUGGUGGCUGGUCAAUUGAUGGAUGAUUUUGAUGAUUGGCUGCUGCAUAAUUUGAAUUCUAGGAGGUUUGUUGCUCAUGGCCUGCCCUGGUAUUUGGUUUUUGCUAUCUUUCUCUGGUUUACUUGGAAAUGGAGAUGUAAAGUGGUUUUUGAUCAAAAUUUUCCUUUGCCUGCUGAUCCUCAUCUGCUGAUUUAUCAGUAUGCUUCUGAGUGGUUUUCAGCUUGUAAUCCAAUGGCUAUUCUCCCUGAGCGUAGUGUUGUUCUUCUCCAUUGGAUGGCCCCUCUUCCUGGUGUUUGUAAAGUUAACACUGAUGGUAGCAGAAUUAAUUCCUCUGGUUUUAUUGGGGCUGGGGGUCUGUUAAGAGACUCCUGUGGGAAUUGGAUCAAGGGUUUCUCUGUGAAUCUGGGCUUUGGUUCUGUCAUUGAAGCUGAGUUAUGGGGAAUUUUUUGGGGGCUUAGUAUGGCUUGGGAUGCUGGCUUUCGCACAGUGGAGAUUGAGUGUGAUUCUACUUCUGCUGUGGCUUUGUUAAAAAGUCCUAUUGUGUCUACGCACCCUCUCUUUAGUAUUAUCAAUUGCUGCAAUUUGAAGAUUCAUGAGGACUGGUGCUGCUAUGUGAAGCAUAUUUUCCGUGAACAAAAUUGUGCUGCGGAUGCUCUUGCUGUGAAGUGUUAUGAUUUUGCUCCUGGGCUCCAUGUGUUUCUUGAGGCUCCAGCCUUUCUUAGUGAUGUGUUAGCUGCUGAUGUUCGAGGUGCUGUUAGACCUCGGCUUGUUUCUGUUUAGUUUCUUCUUGGUUUCGGGCUUUUGCCCUCCUCUGUACCAAAAAAAAAAAAAGAAGCACAUAUUAAGUGCUUCUCUAGAAAAUGAUUCUAAUAAAAAACACUUCUAUAAUUUUCUGCCAAACAUUGUCAUAAGCGCUUUUGGUUAUCAGAAAGUGCUUUUAGCCCUUCCAGAAAUACUCCCAAAUAGGCCCGAAGUUGGGAAUAGAUGGUCUCUUAUCACUAUAGUCUAAAAUAUUAAUAAUAUCGACGAAAUAUCAAGGAUAUUAUCGUUUUUUCGAGUCAAUGAUAUUUUGAAAUGUAUACAUACCCAUAUUGUAUAAAUAUCGAUAAUAUUGGAAAAUAUCGACGUCGAUAAUUUCUCUUACACUUCAGCAACUUUUGGCUAAAAUAUCGCUAUAAUAUCGAUAAUAUCAAGAUGAUGAAGACAAUGAAAAAUUUGAAGAGUUAUUUACACUAACAUUUCCUUAGGUUUCUUAUAUUUUCACAAAACCCCCUUCAGGUCUCAAAAAUUACCCCUUGAGGUUUCAAUUUGUUUUCAUAAAACCCCUUUUCGUUGAUUGUUUGUUCAAAAAUUGAUGAUUUCAUUUAAAAAAAACCACUUAUGCAAACGACAAAAGUAACCUCAAUGAAGUAUAUGCAAUCUAAUCUCAAAGGCCAACUUUUUCAUUUGGAGAAUUUUAUUUUUUUUUAUAUAAAAUCAUCAAUAUUUGGAUGAAAAAUCAAUGAAAAUGAGUUUUGUGAAAAUAAUUUAAAACCUCAGGGGGUGUUCUUGUAAUUUCUAAAACCUUAUGGAGUUUUGUGAAAAAGCAGAAAACCCCAGAAGGUGUUAGUGUAAAUAACUGAAAUUUGAACCUUAUAGGAACUCUAUGUAGUACUAAAUCACUCAUAUAUAUUACCAUGCAAUGUAGAAAGUGUAAAAUAUUAUAGUAAAUCAUUAUAAAUAAAUAAUUAUGGUGUGCUUAAUCUUCUUUCAUUAAUUACUACAUAUUUUCUACACUUGCAGUGUUUGUCAACUCGCUAUAUAAUCAAUUUAAAUCAGUUAAACCCAUCAUACACUGCAUUUCCUUCUAAUUUUUUUGUGAUAAAUUAAUAGAUAAUUGACUAAAUAAACAUCCUCCAAAGUUUCAAAAAAAAAAUUCCAAAUUUUUCUUACAAUUUCCGUGGUUCUCAUUCAAUUUUUAUCGGCUAAAAAUGUGAUAUUUUUAUUUCCACUAGAAAGAAUAAUUUGAUACAAAAUCCCAUGACUGAUUUUCAAUUGAACCUAGACACAAUUAAAUAGUCUUUGGAAGCCGCUUCCCUUUGUAUGCUCGAUUGGCUUGCCAUGAAUGGUCUCCGAUCACCUUCUUAAUUUCUAGCUGAAGUAAGACCAAAGAAUAUUAAUAAUUUCUAGCUCUAGAAGAAUGAACCCUUUUCGAAAUGGUGGACUCAUGAGAUCUUCCUAAAGUUAUUGAAAAAUUAAGUGGGAGAUUGUCUCUCAUUGUCAAGUUUAACGUUGUUCCCAACAACAUGAAUUAUACUAUUUGAUUGGAGAGUGAUGACUUUUUAAUCUUUCCUAAUGGAUUAGACUAUUUGGUUGCGUUAAGAGAAUGAUUUCAAAACCAUGUCUUAGAUUAAUUUUGGUGUCCAAUCAACUAACGUUUGAUCAUAAUGGAUGAGAUAUAAUAUUUACUAAUGUUGAAAUGUGAUACCUGUACUUUCGAUAUUAUCUGAUUUCGAUAUAGAUAAUCAAUCCCAAGAUUGUAAGACACGUCAAUAAAGAAGAUUUUAAAAUUCAAAAUUCAUAGACGACAAUUGUUAGAACCCAGCACCAUUGUGAUGGUGUAUGUGCUAUUACAAAAGUGGUUUAAAAUAUAAUUAGAAUACUAAUUACUUUAUUAAAUAAAGCUAUAACAUAUGUGAGUUUGUCUUAUGGGAAAACUUGGUAAGGAUGAUGGUUCAUCACGAAAGACAGUUCUAGGAUACAAUGUUAAACACGUGUUCAAUAAAGAUUGCUGAAGAAAUUGAGCAAGAGUCCAAUAUAGAAGAUAAUUACCUUCUCCUCUCAUUCUACAUGAGGUUUCAUGAUCCGAAUCAUUCAUUUUAUAAGUUACUUUCACAAAUUAUAUAUGAAAAGAAAAGAAAUUAUGAAAUCGUUUAGUCAUCUAACUUAUCAAAUAACUAGAUGAAUCAAAUGUUUUCAAUUACCAUUAGACCGCAAAAAUGAAGAUAGCUAGCAUUCCUACUUUUUAUUAGUCGAUUUGAGAAAUAGAUUUCAUGAAGUCCUCUUAGAGCUUGAAGGAGAUUAAGUUUUUGUUUAUCACUACUUUUGGUAAUUAUUUAGUUUUGUUUCACCCUUUUUUAUGAUAUAUAAAGAGUUUUAUAGGACAAAAAAGAUUUGAACAACUGGAAAACAAAUAUUCAGUAACAUUUAAAAAAUAAAAAAAUAACAAACUACUUUGAGCAGAACAAGUCACCUUUACUCUCAGUUCAUCGCUUAGCAGUUGGCAUGAAUGGUCGGCAACUUGGCAUAUCAAUAUUUUAGCUUUAUUUAUAGGAUCGAGGGAAAUGAACCCUAAACAAAAUGAAGGGAUGGUUCAUAAAUAUGUCCAAAUCUCUUUAGGCUACAAAUUAUACUCUUUGAUUAUUUUUUUUCUUAGAGUAAGUUUAAACUCAAGCAUGGUAGUUGAAAAUGGAGAACCUUUUUUUUUAUUUUUAAAUACAAUUAUUAGAGCCUCUCAAAUAAGUUUAUUUGAAGGAUAUUCUUUUGGUGCCACUCCGUAUUGUAUUUCAAUAAUUCGAACCAUUUAUCUUUUAUAUAUUAUUUUAAAUCAGACCCGAUCUCUUGGAUCACACGAGUCCAAGAAAUUAUAGUCACCCACCGUUGUAUAUUAAUCUAAUGGUUCAAAAAGUUUCUUAAAAGGAGUGCAAGAGUGAGUGAACCGUUGAAUUUACAUCUAACGGUGAGUGACCUUAAAUCUCUUGGACCCCUAUAGUCCAAGAGAUCAAGACUGUAUUUUAAAUAUCAUCUCUGCAAACAAUCACUAUAAUACAAAACCAUUUGACCACUCAAUUAAUGGUUUGUCAAUUUAGUGGAGUAUUGCUAAACGAACUCUAAAAUUAACUGAGUACACCAUACUACCAAACUAUUUAUUGAAUUACUAAUUUAUCCUAAUAUAAAAUAAUAAAAAACAAAAUUAAGGUGCACUCAGUUAAUUUUAAAAUUUGUUUAACUUAUUUUUCCUUGAUGUCCUCUGCCUAAUGAUUUCUUGCAAAUUAAAGAUAUAAUUAGAAAGAAAAGAUGAUUGUUGUUCAAAAUUAAUAGGAUUAUAUCCAUCCUUAACCAAACCUCAAAUAAUUAAUUGUGGAAAUUUUAAAAUGGUUGGUUUUUGACAUGUCAAAAGUAGAUUUUUUUAUUGUCUCCUCUGCUUGAUCUACAUAAUAUCGUACAUUCAUACAUCAAUUCGCUAUGUGAGUCCAUCAAUGGUGAGGCCCUACUGUCAACAACUGAAUACAAAAUGAGUUUUGGAGUAUGAGUUUCCAUCUUGGAUAAAAAAAAUAAAAAAAAACAACCCCAUAUUUUACAUUGUUACUGCCUUAGCUAAAAGAAAUUUGAGAUUUUUCACACAAAAUAUUGUCCGAUUUGAAUUUGUUUCUUUAAAUUUCAAAGGAGAACUAUCAAAAGAAAAAAUUUGGGUUCUGAGUACUUAUUGUGGCCGUUGCAGAUUGUCAAAGACAGAGAGUGACGUUAUUAUUUCAGUGAUACUAAUUUAUCCUAAUAUAAAAUGGCCAAAAAGUAUUAAGGUGUAGCUAGGAUAUUUUGGUAGUUAAUUAGGGUUACUUAGUUAAUUUUACACUUUGAUUUAAAUAUUAUGGUGUACUUAGAUUAUAGGGUGUACUAAGUUAAUUUUAGGGUUCGUUUAACAGCACUCUUUUAGUGUUGUAUUUAAGCACCGUGUUCAUCUCUUUUAUUGAUCACAACUAGAUGUCUUAAUGAUUUUCAAUUUGUCUAAUUUAUACACUCAAUUAAUAGUUUUUCAUUAACCAUCGUGUUCAUCUAUUUUGUUGGUCACAAGUAGAUGUCUUAAUAUUUUUCAAUUUGUCUAAUUUAUAGUAAGAAUGAUCCAUGAAUAAAUACUUGAAAAUAGACGGUUCAAAUAAAACUAUUUGAAUGAUCUCUCAAUAAAAGGGGACAACAAUUUGAAAUUUAAUAAAUAGGCAGUUACUCUUCCUCUCAUCAUCUACUGUUCAAAUCAAACAGAAGAAAAUCCAAAUGAAUGUUUUGCUAUCUUGCCAAGCUUGUCAGAUUAGUAAUCUGCAACAGUCACCUUUUUAAUGUUUCUCAUAAAGCACCAGGUUAUCCUGCAAAAACAGCUAAAGUUAAGCUGUUGCUUCAGUAUUUUAUUACCAUGUGCAAACAAUAACCAGGCAGAAUUUCAUAAACCUUCAGAACAAAGGCCUCUCAGAAUGAAUAAACAAUUGGCUUAACCACAAGAACAGAUUUCAUAGAGGGCUUAGUUGUUAUCAAUGAUCCCAACUGUUCUGCUUGAGGCCAGCAAUUAUAUUACAGUUCAUGCAUAGGUUUUAACAAACAAUAAACAAAGACUAAUUAAAUACUCUCCCUAGUCUCCACAGCAUGAAGAAACCCCCCAGGUCCCAUUCUUGGAUAUACGAAUAUGCGCUCGAACCAACAAUCCGAGGUGCCUGACUGGAUUCACCACUAUAAUUUCUUCUAGGAUUCAUUUCAACUUUUAGUUCUAGUUUCAAGUCACUCGGGAGAAUGUCACUGAAAGUGAACUAAUUUUGAGAGUCAUAGUUUGUCUAUCCUCUUUCUUUCUUUCUUUUUUCUCAGUAAAUUUUUUUCUCUCAUUUUCCCAGAAAUUUCUAUAUUAAGUCUUCCACUAUAGGCCUUCCUAAAGUGUUUGUUUCUCAACUCAUAACCAUCAGACAUAUUUGUGUUAGUUUCUUCCUCACUAGAUUGGACAUAUAGAUUUUCCUCUAUCAUAUAAAUGCUAUAAGAUCCAUAUAGAUGUAUAAUGUACAUGAGACAAUAGAGAAAUUUACUUACAACAUAAAAAUAAGCAUUAAUUUGGAAACCACUGCAACAUACGUACCAUAUGGUGCUUCAUUUGUUGAUUCUCUUUUCUGCAUUGUAUCAUCAUAUUGAAAAUUCAUAGGGAGAAAACUACUUCCAGUCCAGAAAAAUCAUGGCAGCAGAAGUUCAGAAAGUAGUGGUGAUCCAGGAUGCAUCCAAAGACAUUGUUAGUUCGAGCGCAAUCAAAUGGGUCCUGCAAGGCUUAUUGCUUAAGCCUGGGGAUGAACUUACACUUCUUGCAGUUCUUCACCAGGUUAUUAACCCUAGUACGUUAUCUUUCAUGGCAGCUGGCAGACUGUGUAAGAAUUUAUUUUUUGUUUUUCUAAUAAAAGGAAGAAAGAAUUUCGAAAGUAUGGUAAACAUAAGCACCAAUUAAUAUGAUAGACAUAAAAUCUUAGUUGUAUGAUUCUAUCACACAGAACAGACUCUGCUAACUUUUCAUUUCCCCCAACACCCAAUUUUCCACCUUUUCUGUCCUUCUCAGUGGGAUACAGGACUAAAAUGGACUCGAGUUCUAUUUUCGGAACAAACCAGAAAGUCAUGGAAGAAGAGCUCGAGAGGAAAGCGGAGGAGUAUCGUAACAAAGAGGAGAUAGCAAUGAUUUCUCAGCAAUGUGAAAGGGCAAAGGUCAGAUAAGAAUUGCAGCCACUAUUUGUUACAAAUUGGAGAUUACCUGCUAUUUCUUUUAGAUAAAUUGAUCCAUUUAAUUCAUCUAAGUACUGCUAUACUAUCAUACCAGUGCAUCUUGUGUAGGAAAACAUACACUUCAUUUUUUUUCAGAAUUUGAUAGAGUGCUCACAGCCUGCAGUGCAACAGAGCAGAGGAAUCAUCUGUCAAUUAUAUGCUGACAGAGUACUUUUGUAUUAAACUAAUCUGUCGAUCAAACAAUGACAGGAUCAGUUUUCUGAUGACAUUUCUCAGGUUGAGUUCAACAUGGAGGUGAUUGCUGGUCCCUCUCCCAAGAUGGUUGCUGUGGAGGCUGCCAUAAGAUUAGGGGCAUCAUGGGUGAUUCUUGACAGGUCAGUCAUUAAAAUAUUUGAAGAAUUGGAAAUUGCUCUGCUUGAAACUCAUCCAACCUUGUUUGAAGUGUACUUUUCACAUUGCACAAUAAAUUAAUACAGAUAAGUAAAAUUGUUCAUAAGCCAAAAUCUAACAGAAACAUAAAUAUGAAAAUAACUUAUGUAUGCUAAUGAAUUUGUGUUAUCAAGCAGUCAAUGAUUGAUUGAAACUCCAAUAGUAGUUAUGAUUUCAAAUUCAAGAGAUCAUAGUUAUGGUUUCAAGUUCAUGAAAUCAUAUCCCAAAUACCCACCCAUAUACCAAUUCAUUAGAAAUCUACACCAAACAUAGAUCACUGAGAAUAAUUUCUAAAAAUACAAGGUGGUUGCCCGUAGUUCAGUCUUAAGUACUUUGGAAGAUGAUAUUUUCAUCCACCCUUGAGCUUGAAUUAGUUGGAGGUGCUAAACACAUUGACUUUAAGGUCAAAAUAAUAUAGUAUUGUAAAAAAAAAAUAAAGUGUAGUUUUUUAACAUUGAGAACAUGAAGGCUUUCCAAACAAUAUAUAAUGCCCUCAAUCUCUCCACCCACUGCCAAUUGGUUUUGGGUUGAAUGCUCUAAUUCUAACAGUGUUAAGGUUGUUUAGGCAGUCAAAGCGUUCAAAUGAUUGUUGUAUGACAAAUUUAUGUUGCAAACUCCAUAGCUAAAUACAAGUUGGAAGGUGAAAAACAUAUGGUUCUGUGUGAAAUCAUUUAACUUCACUAAUUUUCUAAUUUCUGAAGCCACUACUGAUGAAGCUUUAUACUUCCUUACAAACUUCCAAACCUUGUAAAUUAAAAUAAUGUUUCUUAUCAAACAAACUGCCAUCUGAAAACAAUGAGACACCACAGUGUGAAAGCUCCUUUCUAAUUUGUUCAUGCAGGCAGAUGAAGAAAGAUAAGCAAUUUUUCAUGGAGAAGUUGUCAUGUGGUAUAUCGAGGAUGAAACGUAACAAUUCUGUUGAGCAAUUGAGAGGGCCAAAGCCAUUUGGGAGAAGUAAACAAGUCACCGAAAGACGAAGCAACUCAGUCACCAAAAAACGCAGCAAAGACCGCCAUGUAAAAUAUGAUGAAAUGAUACCAGGAAGCCCAGACGAGGAACUUUCUCCUAAAAGUAAGAAGUUCUGUCACAAUUUAUCUCAGGGACUAGGACUCAGAGUUUCAAAUUGGAUAGAUUAGACAACUUUAUAUAGUAAAUUUAUUGAUCUGUAGCUUAUAAAUAACACAUACAAAAUCUACUUUUAAUUUCUGUAAAUGAUCACCAUGUCUAACAGAUGUAAUUGCAAAAAAUCUGACUUGCAACAAGUUUGACUAAGGCCUACCUAUAGUUGCAUUAAAAAAGAAGAGCAUAGGACAUCUAAUUCUUUUGGCCUGAUAAAAAAAAUAUAUUAAAGUCCACUGUAGAAGUUUAUGCUCUCAUCAUCCAAGUUCGGUGUAGUAUGCAGCCCAGAACAAAUAAUGGAAUGUUAUUUUUCACUAUAUUAUCUACAUAAUUCCACAUUGCUUAUGCUCAAUACCAAAUGCAAGAAGUUGAUUAAGAGUGCACAUUGUUUUAGGAUCUCCAAGUCUUCGAAUGACCAGUUCUGGAAAAGAACAAGAUGGUGAUGGUAGUGGACACCCAUGGCCUAACCAUAGAAAAUCUACCUCAUCAAGUGAGCCCUUGUUGACAACUAGAAUGUCAAGUGCGGGGAAUACUGAAACCAUAACUUCUUGUCUUCCCUGUCAUUAUCAAGAGGAAGAAAGCACGACAAAUACUGAAAGGGGAAAAGCAGGAGAGCAUUCCCCAUUUCCAAUUGCUGAGAGUGAAGCAAGGGUUCAAAAGGAAACAGAUAAUGCUGGGAGCCCAGAUGAAUAUAAACAGCAUAGCUACAAGGAUGAUUGGAUAGGAGAAUGUCAAACAGAUGAAGAAUUUAAAAACUCAAUUUGCACAGUUUGCAAGAACAAACGGCCAACAAUUGGAUGGAAGAGAGAUUUUACUCAUGCAGAGCUCCUAGGUGCUACAGACGGGUUUUCUGCAACGAAAUACUUGUCUGAAGGUGGAUUUGGUUCCGUCUACAAAGGAGAUCUGAAUGGACUGAAGAUUGCUGUUAAGCAACAUAAAAAUGCAAGCUGCCAAGGAGAGAAGGAAUUUGAGUCUGAAGUACACGUACUCAGCAAGGCAAGACAUGAGAAUUUGGUGAUGCUGUUAGGGUCAUGUUCGGAAGGAAACCACAGGCUCCUUGUUUACGAAUAUGUUUGCAAUGGUUCAUUGGAUAAACAUCUAUCAAGUAAGAAGGAAACAAGCUUAGAAGAAACAAAAAAAUUUUGAAUUCUUCAAAAUUUUAAAAACAUCAAGUGUUUUCCUUAAUAUUGCAGAAUAGAGAAGCCUAACCCUGGAGCAACUUUCUCUAAAUUUAUGCAGACCACAGCAGAAGACCUCUUAGUUGGGAUAAGAAGAUAAAAAUUGCUACUGGAGCUGCAAGAGGCUUACAAUACCUGCAUGCAAACAACAUCAUCCACAGAGAUGUGAGGCCAAACAACAUCCUCGUGACACAUGAUUAUGA
rnacentral:lncRNA from 1 species